UUUUUUUUUUUUAGUCUUUCAAGAAAUCCCAUUAUUUUGGUAUCAUAUAUGGGAUUGCUUGUAUUGCCUUCUUUUUCAUUGUACUCAAAUGGAUUCAAAGUAAUACAAGUCUAGCAUUUUUGUUAACCUUUAGCAUUAAUUUAUUCUUAUUUCCUUUUCUCACAACUUUUAUUCUUUUUGAAACAUGUGGUUUCUCCAAUCAGUAUUCGAAAUUGAUAUCAAUCAGGAGGUACCACUUCCUCCCUUUAAUUUCAAACACCUAUAUCACAUUGAGGACAAUGCUCAGUUCGGUUGGGGGGGGGGGGGGGGGGGGAGAAAUGAGGAAGGAAGUAUGCUAAGUUAUUUUGGUAAUGCAAUUAUGUUGAUAAAUUAGUUGUAAUCUUUUACAGUCCACUCUAAUCUCCAUGGAUUUUGAGGAAAAAUUUUCAAAUUAAAUCAGGAGAACUUGAACUGUUGCUUUUCACUUGACUUAGAGUAUGGAUUAUGCUUACUAAAGUGGUUCAAUUGUUGAAGCUUCUAUUGAAAUCAAGUUUAGUUCUUCCACUUUAAGCUAUUCACACACUGUGCACAAUAGGUUCCGAGUAUAAGAUGAAAAACUAUUUCCCUCUUGACUUAGGAAAAUUUUGGGACUUGGUACCUUUGACCUCAGUUGAUAAAGUUGAGACACCUUAUGAAAGGCCAAUGAGCCUUUGAAAUAAAGAAAGAAAAAUGUUUGCUCACCUUGAAACCCGAGCAAGGUCUGAGGGGUAUAUGGUGAAAAUCUUUAAAACCUGGUGCCCUAAGCCUUAAUUGGUUGGGAGUCACCGACCUCAAUGCUCGUUACAAGGGUGGAUAGGUGGAGUUAGCAUAUGGUAGGUGCUUGGGUAUUAAAUUCAUUCUCAAAAGUCCGGGGUAAAAUUCGAGGAGUUAGUGGUUGAAAGAUCCUUAAAGCUUGUUGCCCUAAACCUUAAUUGGUUGGGAGUCAUCGAUGGACCCCCGUUACAUGGACAAUUCAGAAAAGAAUACCCCUUAAGCCUUGUAAAAAAAAUAAAAAAAAAUGGUCAGUUUGCCUAUUGAAUUUGGUCAGUUUGCUAAGUGUUGAAAAGAGAUAGGUUGGGGGAAGAGAUUAGUUUAGCACACUAUAUUCGGAAGCUAAGGAAUCAUACACUUAGAUUUUUGUGGAAGAAUAAAGUUUGGUUCUUCGGAAGUGAAAAUGAUUUUAAAACUUCAAUUUGCAUAAUGCAUUCCCUUGAUUAAUAGUGUUUAGCAAAGUUUUUGAUAACUCUUGUUGAAAUUUGGGUUUAUAUUUCUUCAAUGUUUCAUGUGAGAGUUAGAUCAUCAUGCCACUUAAAAUUUUUUGAAGUAAUCAGCAUGAUGUUGUAAAUUAUAGUAAUUUUUAUUUUUAUUUUUUCUCUCCUUCAUUGCUAAGGGACUAGCAAUAUGUCGGUUGGGGGGAGUGAUUACUACUCAAAAUGUGUUAUUUCAUAGCUUGUAAUUAACUCUUUUAAACACUUUUGAGUAGUAGUUAUUGCCUUUUAACCCAAUUAACAUAUUAAGGACCUUUGCAAGCACUUCUAAUCAAAUUGUGUUAAGUUUUGGUGUUUUGAUAGCUUUUUGAUCACCAAAGCAAUCCAAGAUUGAGGAGAGUUAUGAGGAAUCUUGGGCAAAGCAAUUGGAAGCUUAGAAACAUGAAGAACCAAAGCUUGGAAGUCCUUUGCCAUAAGUAAAUCUGGAAUGCAAGGAGAAGAAGCAAAGAGAAUCUGCCAUAAAGCAUAUCCUUGAUGACAGUCAUAUCAGCCACUUUUGGAGCACUUUCUGAAGGCCAAUUGAUGCAUUCUAUAUACCAUUUCAAAGCUCAGGAAGUCAAUGAUUCGCGUAUGUAAAUCCAGUCGGGUCAUCGAAUCAAAAACAUUUAUAAAACCUAUGACCUCAUACUAGUGUAGCAAAGCUACUAUAGUAUAGUGGCUCUAGGGUCGAACUCUGGGAUGGGUUUUCAUUCUACCAGUGAUAUACUCAUGAUUAGGAAUUGAAUUUAAUGAUUUCCUUUAUCAAAAACUUAGAGUUUAAAAGAAAAUAAAAUUUGUUUUGAAAGUGUUUGAAACUAAAUUAACAUAAACUAAUUAAAAAUGGAAGAAAGAAAGUCUCCCGGAGCUCAGGAUUGCUAGGAUCAAGUUUAGAAUGCAAAGUGGAAAAUUCCGGAUUUUUCUCCUCGCAUUGGGGAUUUAACCUAUAGUUAUUUCCCGAACCGGUAUAGGUUUAAUAAUGAAGAUUUAAUCCAUAAAAAUCAAUAGAAAUGGUAGUCAAGGUCCAUUAAUGGCUUUAGACACUAUGGGUCUUCACCUUGAACCACUUUCCAAUGGCUCGUACAUGAUAACUAAUGGACUGAUAUGGAUCUAGCAAUAAGCAUCUACAGAGACCUGAAGCUUACCAUGUAUUGGCCAUGCAAAGUGAUUCUAAGGGAUUUAAAGCAAAACUUUGGAUUUAAAAGCCAUUUAUGAACUUCAACUACCUGUAUUUAAGGCACGAGCGUUUUCCACCUUGCAUCUGGACUUUUCACCUAGCUUCCAUCACUCCAAGAAACCAAAAGUUUAGCCUCUCAUCCUCUGAGAAAACAUCCUCAGAGGUUGUUUGGCUUCCAAGAAAAAGAAAAUAGUAAAGAGAAAAGGGAAAACGAGAGAGCUCUGUAUAUUUUUCUAAGUGUAAAACAUAACACGCGUGAUCCUCUCCAAGAGGUGAUUUCCACCCCUUAUAUAGUUUUUACAAAAGCAAAGCUUGUGAUUGCCUUGUUACAAGGAGAAGAAAGGAAAUUACAUCAAAAAAUACAAAAGAAAAUAUCUAAAGUGGAGUUGGCAAAAACAGAGGAAAAUUCGCACCACGCAUGGGGUGUGCGAAUUUUCGCACACCUAAGGGGGGUGUGCGAGUUUCGCACACCAUUCGCACAGCUAAGGGGGUGUGCGAAUUUCGCACACCAUUCGCACACCUGGAGCAGUUGUCUUCUGAAGGCCAUAUCUUCCUCGUUUCAGAUCCAAAUCGUACACGGUUUGAAGCGUUGGAUUAUUGACUUCCUAAGCUUUGAAAUGGUAUAUAGCAUGUAAAAAAUGGACUUUGGGAAGUUCUCCAAAAGUGCCAAAGAAGACUGCAGCUGCUGUCCUCUGUUUUCCUCCUUGCUUCUCUUUGCUUCUCUUUGGUUUUCUUUGCUUUUCUCCUCUGGAUGGCUUGUCUUAAUGAUCUAAAAAGAUGUCAAAAACACUAAAACUAGCCACAAAUAUGAUUAGGAGUCAUUACUAGGUCCUUAACAUGCCAAUUGGAAUAAAGAUGAAGAAUUACUACACAAAAGUGCUUAAAACAUAAUGACUUAAAGGUGUAAAAUAGCACUUUUUGGGUAGUAAUCAGUCAACAAUCCAAUGCUUCAAACGGUGCGUAAUUCGGAGUUGAAAUGAAGAAGUUACAGCCAUUGCAAGUUAAUCACUCUAAGCUGAAGGAAGCAUUUUGCAAAGUGUUGCGAAAUCACCCUUUUGUUGCGAAAUGAUUUCGCAGCCUUUUUGCACAGUGUUGUGGAUUUCCUCCUGAAGUUGCCCGAUAUAUGCCGCACGUUGGAAGCUGAGAGCCUCAAGGUGAAAGCCAACUUCGCAGAGCUGCGAGAUUAGCCUUUUGCUGCGAAGUGAUUUCGCAGCCCUUUUUGAGUGUCUGCGAAAUUUCGCAGACAUCAUUUUCUCUUGCGAAAUGGUCCUUAGUGUGUCCCGAUAUUUGCUACAGACAUUGGGAGAUAUUUUUUAUCAGAUUUUUGUUGUCUAAAUCCCAAAAUUCUCCUUGUAAGCCACCAAUUACAAGAUUCCUUAGCUUUUAAGUUAGGAAAAAGAGUAAAUAUCCAUGUAAUAAUUAGUUUUGUAUUAUGUUUAUAUAAAUACCUCUCGAGAGCCUAUUCUCAAGGGGAGGAACCCUUUUGUAAAAGUUUGAAAGCAAGUAAAGUUCAGGCCCUUUGUUUUGCCUUACCUUCUCACUUUGUAUUUUUCAUCUUUUUCUAAGUUAUGAACUCUCUGUGGAAUUUUCCCCAGAGAAUGAGUAACUAAACCUUUAGUUCCUUGGAGCUAAGGUUGCCGGGAAAGGUUCCAAGUGCAAGAAUGCAAAGCUUUGUGGUUUCAGCCAUUAAUGAAGAGGAAGUGAAAUCCUUUAGUGAUUUCUAUGUUUUUAGUUAACUUAAAACACCUUAGAGUCACCUGGGCCAACACUUGGUAAGGCAAGUGAUCUCUAUCCAUGGAGAUGCACUAGUUUACCCCUUGCGAGCCUCUGGGAGGUGACUUGAAGGUAGGAUUUUCUAGAAUUGCCAACACUUGGUAAGCUUUUGGACUCCAAGGAGACAUCCAUUAGUUAUCUCUUGCGAGCUUUUGAAGGGAAGUCCAAGGUUAAAGAUCAUCUUGAAUGGUAAGUGCUCAUGAGAGGCAUGAACCAUUGCAAGUUGCAUCAGUGAGAGGGAAUUAAAGCUGAAAUCCAAUUAAAGGAUGUAUCUGUACAACACCGGUUAGAGAAUUGACUAUAUGUUGAUUCUCUCACGCGAGGAAAUGAACCAACUGACCUGAGCUAUGUCUUUUGCAUGAGGAACCUCCCCAGUGAACCUGACUCUCCAAGGAAUGUUUUUCUUCCUAAGUAAUUUCCAUUACUUGUUUUUCCGUUAGCUUAAAUCUAAAUCUUUCUAAACCAAAGUUUGUGUUUUAUUUCUUAAGCUAACCUUGAAAUGAAAAAGUACCAAUUCACUUUGAAUUGGUAUCAUUUGUAAUUUUGAAACCCUUCCCAGUGAACAAUCCUAGAGCCGCUAUACUAUAGUAGUUUUUUCUUUGCUACCCUAGUAUACGGUGUAAUAGGUUAUAAAUUUUGUUGAUUACUUCCUCAAUCAAGGAGCACCAGCUAGACACGAAUCAGCUGGCACACCGACUGGGCAUGAAUCAAACUACAUAUUGACAAAAAGGAAUCACAAUUUAUAUUUGUUAAUCCUUUUACAAUAUCAUGAGCAAGCUUUAGUACUCCUCAAAUAGAGAAAAGAGCACUAUUGUUGUCAAAAAUCUUAAUAGAGUGCCAAGAUGCUGAAUAUGUUUUCAUGCCCUACAACCCCGAGUAAGUGACGAAUAUUAUACUUUAAUUUGAGGUUUUAUGAUUGAUUUAUAUUUCUAAUUAGAUGCUACUUUUUUUUUUUUAAUGUUUUAGCUUUCAUUGGGUCUUGGUAGUGAUUGAGCCAAGGAAAAUGAUAGUCCACUAUCUUGACCAUAUGAAUCACAAACCAUGUGAGGACUUAAAGGAUAUCGUAAACAUGUAAGAUCUUCCUAUUAUUUUUUAUAGUAUUAUUUUUUAAAAAAAAAAUUACAGUCACCUCAAACACAUUUUUUUUUAUUUCUAUAUAUUAAAACAUAUAACAUUUACCUAUUUUAAAAAUGUACCCAUUGAACUUAUUUACAUAGGCUUCUUCAAAUAUCUACAAAGAAAACAUCUAAGAGGGAGCCAUCUUGGCAACUAGUCUAUGUGACAUCCAUAAUUGUUUUUUACACAUUUAGCUUAUGCAUUUGCACCAUUUAUAUAUAUGAGUACUAAUGUUAUUUUAUAAUUGAUCGCUUAGUGUCCAAGAUAAGAAAGAGGGUUCGAAUGUGGCUACUUUGUUAUGAGAUUCAUUAAAGAGAUAAUUUUUUAUCCUAAAAUUAUUGCUUCAAAGGUAUUACUUAUUUAAUGAAUUGUACAUAGUUUUAGGCUUCCACAUGUUAUGCAUUUUAAUGUUAUUUUCUUAUUUGAUUUCAAUUUGGUGAUAAAAAAACAUAUUCUCGAGUAGAAUUCAAUGAAAUUAGAGGAGAAUGGGCUACUUUUGUGCUACAACUAAUCAUGAAUCAUGUUGAUGCAUCAUGAUCACCAUGCAUGGUGAGUCCCUUAGCUACUACAUGAAUUUUUCCAUAGGUAUUGUAUAGUAUUGCUUAUUCUUUGAACAAUGUUUCUAUUUGAAAAAAAAAAAUAAAAAUUAGUCCUUAGAUUUGUUCAUUUAUGAUAAUAUCGAUCCAUAUUUAUUUUCUUCAAUAAAAUCUAUAAAACUCAUUAAACUAUGAAAUGCAGGUAUACAGUCUUGGGAGGGUGGAAUGGAGAAUAAAAAGAAAGAAGAAGGCAACAAGAUUUUAGGUUUUUAAAUGCAACUCUUAUGUCAUACGUUGUAGGACAUAAACGUUAGUUUAAUUGGUACUGAGAAUUUUAGAUUUUUAGAUGCGACUUUUAUGUCAUUUUAUAGUUAGUCGGUUUUAUGCUUAUGAAAUGGUGGUAUACAUGAAUCUUGGGAUCUUUAACAUUUCUAAAUCAUGUUUUAGUAUGUAGUCACUCUUCUUUUUUAGUUUUGAUGGGUUGAUAUGUUGGACGUACUAUCUUUUUGUGAACAUUUGAUAUACAAAUAUUAUUAGAUGCUCAAUGUAUUAUGAGUUAUUUUAUAAACAUUACAGAAAAAUGAGUUAAAUGUAAUAUGAUUGUUAUAUUUAUGGACAAAAUAUACACAGGUUAAUCUUACUUGUUAAUUCAUCAGCAUUACAAAAAUCUACAACUAGAAGCAAUCAUAUCUUCCAUAGUAAUUUACAAUGAUGUGACACCAUAACUCAAAGGUGAUGCAUUUAAUGUGACAUCAUAACUCAAAGUUGAUGCAUUUAAUGUGACAUCCUAUCAUCACUAGAAAUAUAUGGUGUCACUUCUGAAUGUGUCAUCAUUUAUCUACUUUGGUGUCACUUUCAAAUACGUCACCAAUUGGUACCCUCUAUGGUGUCAGUGGAGAAGGUGACGCUAUGUUGUAGUGACACCCUAUGUUUAUGGUGACUCGUUAUAAAUGUCAUCAUAUAUCUUUUUCCUUGUAGUGGGAUUUGAGAUUAAAAGAUUGCACUAAAGGGUAGUUUGAGAGUAAUGCUAUACACCUACUUUGUUUACUCAAGUGGUUCAGUCAAGGGGGUUAAGCAAGUUGGCAACACCCAAAAUCCAAAAUACACCGAGACUUGAAAUUGGAGAAUUCUAGGUGAACUAAGGUAUGAAAAUGGAAGGUUUGAGUAAUUUAAUUAUUACGGAUUAGCCUUUUAGGAAUCUCUAAUGGCUAGAGAGAAGAUGUAAAAUUUAGAGACAAGUUUCUGAGUAUUUUUUUAUUGAAAUUUCACAUUGAUUCCCCAUUAUGAUUUCCUUGAUUCUAUAUGUUUUGCCUUACUGAGAAAUAUACAAAGAAAAAUAAUAGGAAACAUGAUAGCUCGCUAAUCAAGGUUGACAACAUAAACAAUUCUACUAGAAUUGAUGUUCUUCAGAACACUUGCUCUCUCACAUGCCCCCCUUCCCCCCAUCAAAAGCCUUAUCCUCAAGGCUAAAAUCGGUGGAGCUUUAAUAUUUUAUUGUCUUAAAUUGAAUUUAAAAAUUAGAUAAGCUACGUUAGGUGAAGAUUGACUAGGCGUGGCGGUCCAUCUCAUUGUGUAGUGCGCUAGUGCCCACACAUGCCUCAUCUCUUCCAAAUUUUCAAUCCCACUGGUGUUUUCCAACCAUGCUCAAACCUUCACUGAACCAAUCAUAUUCAUAAUAAUCCUAAUAAUGUUGAUUUCUACUUCUAUGGAUAUCGUAAGGCCUCGUUUUCAUUUUCUCUUCCAAGUAUUUCAUACCUCAAUCCAAUGAACCCCACCACUGAAAUUUUUUUCUUUUGGUGCAAAGUUUGUCUCAGCUUAGCUAAUAACAGAGCUUCCAAGCAUUGUAGAAGAUCAAGGAUUUGUUCUUCCGAUAUGUGUAUUUACUCCCAGACCCAUUUUUUACUUUGCAUCUUUAGACUUUUUGUUUUGUUGAUGAGAAAAUCUCCGAGAAAUCAGAUUCUGUGUAUUGUUUUACAUUUUUCAUUGUUCAUUUUUUUUUUGAAGUAGUUUGGCUUUCAAAGAAAAAAGGAAUAAAAAUAACAAGCUAAAUAUUGUAUUGGGGAGAGUUGAUUUGAGGGUUUUGAUUCAGAACUUGUAUUUUUUUUCCCUGUCUUAGUUCUCUUUGAGCAACCUAAAUGUAUCUUAAUUAACUAUUGAUUCCCUUUUCUUGUUUCUGUGAUGUGAAAUGAAGAUAAUUCCCCUUAAAUCUAGGUAAAACUCCAAACUAGCAUUUUUGUUAUAAAAGUUUAGAUUUGUUUGGAAAGUAUUGUUUAAAACAGUUUUGAAAAAUAGAUUUUAGAAAUCGUCAUCUAAUGUUAUAUAAAACAAAUCUAUGUUUCUCUUUGGCAAACAAAAAUGUUUUUAAAUGGUUCUCUAUUAUUAAAUAUGUUCUAAAAAUAAUUUUCAUAUUUAAUAUUUUAUUUUUAAUUUUUUUUAUUAAUUAUUUUUUAAAACAACCCUCAUAAAUAAAAUUAAAACAAGUAAAAAUACCUGAAAAUAAAUAAAAAAAUAUUCAAUGAAAACACCUAAAUUCCUAGUUGGUAAAGAUAUUUGUUUUUUUUUUCUUUUUCUUUUUUUGUUUUGAAAUAUAGAAAACAAUUUUCGAAAAUAGUUUUCAAACAAUUCCUUAAUUUUUUUAUUAAGUAGAGUCCUUAACUAAGGGAGCAUGAAAUUUCCAACAAAACACCUUUAGCACUCGAACUUCCCACAUGUCCAAUUGAUUUGUCGUGGUUCGGUGAUAGGAAUCCAAGUGAAAAAUUAACUCACCCCCUCAAAAAUAUCAAUAAUUUGGUGCAACCAUCAAACCCAACUUCCAAAGCCUUCUUUUCCUUUGAGAGGCCUAAUAAAGAGUAGAAAAUGAGUCUUCAUACACUUCCCCUCAUUCAAACCUUCAAACCUUCCAACAAGGUUAAAAUUUUCAGCUUCAAUGCUAACCUGUUGAAAGUUGGCUCCUGGCUCACACAAAACUCUUAACUACUCUACCAUAAUGGUUGUGGUUGGGCAUCAAGUUGUUAUUGUCUUCAUCUCAACUAAUGUGUACCGAUUAUUAUUAUUCCCAACUUUUCUCAAGAUAUCCUUUGAUUCAUUUGUUGAGGUUGUUAUUGAGUUUGUUAGGGUAGUUAUUCUAGUGAUUAUCAUUAUCCAUAAUAUAUCUCAAUACUUAUAUUUUAGCUAUCAACAAGUUUUUUAUCUUUAUCCUUAACCAACUACAGGUUAUCUCAAAAUUUAAAAAUCAUAUUUUUGUAUACCUAAAAAUUCUAGGUAUAACCAUUUAUUUGGGACAUCUCUAAUAUCUUUUAGGGUAAAAAGUUGGUUAUAAUUUAUAAAUAUUUAUUUAAAUUUUUAAAUCACCCAUUCACCCCCCUCUAGGUGUUCCCUAUUGGACUUUCGGUCAUUAUUCAAGUGGUAUUUAAGCAAUACCCAUUUUUCAAUUAGUAUCAAAGGGAUACCAUUUUUUCAUAAAUAAAUAAACAAAAAUAAAUAAAUAAAUAAUUACAUGAAGGGGAUAGGGAUGUACCGAAACACAGCAAAAUAAUCCAAGUAGCUUCAAGGUGAAGUUCAAGUAUCAAACCCUCAACAUUCUCUCUUACUUGAAAAAUUUGAAAACAAGCCAAGAGAAAGCCCUCCCUUUCUCGCCUCAAAUGCUUUGCCUUCACCUAAAAUAAAUAGCAAAAAGACUCAUAAAAAAACAUCAUGAAAACCCUAUAGAGCCAUUUUCCACUUCCCAUCAAGCCACUCUCCUAUCAAUUUUGUUUCCAAAGCAUCCAACUUGUUUUUCAAUUCAAGAAAAUUCAAGUCAUGUAUGUGUGUCAUCUCAAGCCUUAUUCUACCUUCCAAUUGCUCCUAUUAGCCAAAAAAAAAAAAAUAUGUAAAGCUAGCCCAUGCACAAAAAUGAAUAUAGGGUCAAAUAAAAGGCCUAAACCAAUAAUACACAAGCCCAACCCAAACAAAGCAACAACCAAAUCAAUAGUUCAAAUUAGAUUAAUUUAGGCCUAAAAUCAUCAGCAAUCUAAAAAUUAAUAAACCUAAAAAAAAAAAAAAAAAAAAACUAAAAUCAAAGUCUAAGCCCAAACCUUAACAAUAGUAACCUGAAGCAACAAAGCCUAAGUAAUAAUAAUUAGCCCACAUUAGGUGGAAACCCAAUUCAAAGCAAAUAUCCAAUGCCAUAAAACAAAAAUCUAAAGUCACAAAUAACUGCUAUACAAAUCUGUUAGCCCAAGGGUUCUCCUAAUCAGGUUUUGAUGAUAACAAACCAUGGUUAAGUGACUAAUUGGUUUGAAUGGUAAAGAAUUCCAGGUAUAAAUUUGGAAAUUCAUCAAAUGACCAAAUAGAUACAAGAUCGAGACUUUUGAUCAUAGGAAACAUAGGAAACAAAUGUAAGAUGAAUGCAUGGGUGCACUUAUGUUUUACAUAUCUUUUAAUGCAUCUUUGAAAACUCAAUUUAUUCUUUAAAAUUAUAAUUUCAUUAAAACCCGACAUAUGAGAUCAAUUUGGCAAAGAAGCUACAAGAGGGUGAAGACAAAGAGAAGAAGAGCACAGCUCUCAAAGCUACAACUAAGGAAAAAGAAGAUGUUGAAGAAGAAAAAACAAGUGAAGAAGAUGAUGAUUUAGCCCUCAUCAUAAGAAAGCUCAACAAAUACAUGAGAGAUGAAAGGUUUAGAGGAAGAAAUUUCACCUCUAGAAAAGACCUUUCUAAAAAAAUCUUCAUCUCAUGGUGACAAGGAGAAAUGGGAAGAGACAAGAGAUUUAAUGUGUUUCAAAUGCAAAAAACUGGGACACAUUAAAUAUGAUUGUCCUCUCUACAAAAGUAAAGCUAAGAGAAGAAUGAAGAAGGCAAUGAUGGCCACUUGGAGUGAAAGUGAAGAAUCCUCCGAAAAAGAAAAUGAGAAAGAAGUGGCAAACAUGUACUUCAUGGUAAUAAAUGAACUUGAUGAUGUAAACUCUAACUUUAGUGAUGAAGAUAUGCAUGAUGUUUUUGAAGAAUUAUAUGAGGAUUUUGAAAAACUUAGUUUGAAAAAUAAUUCUCUUAAAAAGAAAAUUCAAGAACUUGAAGAAGUGAAAGAAAAUUUUCAAUUGUUGAAAUUUCUAAAACUCAUCUUGAAAAAGAAAAUUAGAUUUUGAGAAAUGGAAAUAAGAUUUUGAAAAACAAAAAUUAAUGGUUGACCUCAUCUCUUUCAAUUUUUUCUUGUGGAAAAAAAUCUUUUGAAAUGAUUCUAGCUAGCCAAAAAUGUGUUUUUGACAAACAAUGGCUAGGAUUCAAAUCUUCAAAAACUCAAAAGUAUUUUAAAAACUACUUUGUAAAAGAAUCCUCAAGUGCAAGUCCUUCUACCACUUGCAACUUUUGUGGAAGAUGAGGGCACAUUAGUAGUACAUGUCCCUUAAGAAAUGGUUCUCAAAAGAAUUCAAAUGCAAAAGCUAAAAAGGUUUGGACUGAAAAAUCCAAGGUCACUAACCCUUAAGGACCCAAAAAGAUAUGGGUACCUAAAUCAACUUGAAUUUUAUUUUGUAGGGUUCAAAGAAGGAUAAGUGGUUCUUGGAUAGUGGAUGCUCAUGACACAUGACUGGGGAUGAAUCCAAGUUUGCUUUCCCUACAAAGAAAAAUGGAGAAUAUGUUACCUUUGGAGACAAUGCAAAAGGAAGAAUCAUUGGUCAAGGCAACAUUGGUAAUGGCACAUCCUCUCUUAUUGAAAGUGUUUUAUUAGUGGAUGGUUUAAAAUAUAACCUUUUAAGCAUUAGUCAACUUUAUGACAAAGGUUUUAAAGUGAUUUUUGAAGCAUCUCAUUGCAUCAUCAAGGAUAUUCAAAAUGAUAAAACCAUCUUCAUGGGCCAUAGAUGUGAUAAUGUUUACGAAAUAAAUAUUUCAAAAUAUGAUGGCCAUGAUAGAUACUUUUCAAGCAUGGAUGAUCAAAGUUGGUUAUGGCAUAAGAGGUUGGGACAUGCUAACAUGGACCUCAUUUCCCAACUCAACAAAGAUGAACUUGUUAGAGGCCUUCCCAAAAUAAAUUUUCAAAAAGACAAAGUUUGUGAAGCUUGUCAAAUGGGAAAGUAAAUCAGAAAUUCUUUCAAAAACAAAAAUUUCAUUUCAACAUCUAGGCCUCUUGAGUUUUUGUAAAUGGAUUUAUUUGGUCCUUCUAGGACAGCAAGUCUUGGAGGAAAAUAUUAUGCAUAUGUUAUUGUGGAUGACUUCUCUAGAUACAAAUGGGUUUUGUUUUUAAGUCAAAAGAAUGAAGCCUUUUAUGAGUUUUCAAAGUUUUGCAAUAAGGUUCAAAAUGAAAAGAUUUUACAAUUACUUAUAUAAGAAGUGAUCAUGGGAGAGAAUUUGAAAAUAUUGAUUUUGAAGAAUAUUGCAAUGAGCAUGGUAUUAACCACAAUUUUUCGGCUCCUAGAACUCCUCAACAAAAUGGGGUAGUUGAAAGGAAAAAAUAGAACUCUUCAAGAAAUGGCUAGAACCAUGUUAAAUGAAACCAAUUUACCAAAAUAUUUUUGAGCCGAAGCGGUUAACACUUCUUGUUAUGUUUUAAAUAGAAUAUGAUUGAGGCCAAUUCUUAAGAAAACUCCCUAUGAGCUUUGGAAAAACAAGAAACCCAACAUUAGCUAUUUCAAAGUCUUUGGGUGCAAAUGUUUUAUAUUAAACACCAAAGACAACCUUGGAAAAUUUGAUGCAAAAUCGGAUGUUGGAAUUUUCCUUGGUUACUCAACUUCAAGUAAAGCCUUUAGAGUUUUCAACAGAAGAACCAUGGUUGUAAAGGAGUUCAUCCAUGUUAUUUUUUAUGAAUCUAACAAUUCUCUCCAAGAAAGAGAGAGUUUUGAUGAUGAUUUAGGCUUGGAGACCUCCAUGGGAAAAUUGCAAAUUGAAAAUAGAAGACAACAAGAAGAAAUUGGAGAGGAUCCCAAGAAAGAAGAAUCACCAUUGGCACUACCCUCUCCUCAACAAGUGCAAGGUGAAUCAAGCCAAGACCUUCCUAAAGAUUGGAAGUUUGUCAUCAACCACCCACAAGAUCAAAUUAUAGGUAAUCCAUGUAGUGGGAUAAGAACUAGAUCAUCUCUUAGAAAUAUUUGCAAUAAUCUUGCUUUUAUAUCUCAAAUUGAACCUAAAAAUAUAUGUUUUAGUUGAUGAAAAUUGGAUGAUUGCUAUGCAAGAAGAGUUAAAUCAAUUUGAAAGAAGCGAAGUAUGGGAAUUAGUGACAAUACCUUCAAAUCAAAGUGUUAUUGGAAUUAGAUGGGUCUUUAGAAAUAAAAUGGAUGAAAACUGCAUAAUUGUUAGAAAUAAAUCAAGAUUGGUAGCCCAAGGUUUUAAUCAAGAAGAAGUGAUAGAUUAUGAAGAAACCUUUGCCCCCGUAGCUAGGUUGGAAGCCAUUAGGAUGCUACUUGCUUUUGAAUGCUUUAAAGACUUUAUUUUAUAUCAAAUGGAUGUGAAAAUUGCUUUUUUGAAUGACUUUAUAAAUGAAGAAGUAUAUGUUGAACAACCACCCGGUUUUCAAAGUUUUAACUUUCCUAACCAUGUUUUUAAACUUAAAAAGGCACUUUAUGGUUUGAAACAAGCACCUAGAGCAUGGUAUGAAAGAUUGAGUAAAUUUCUUUUGAAAAAGGGUUUUAAAAUGGGAAAAAUUGACACAACUCUUUUCAUAAAGACCAAAGAAAUUGAUAUGCUCUUAGUUCAAAUAUAUGUUGAUGAUAUUAUUUUUGGAGCUACUAAUGUCUCUCUUUGUGAAGAAGUUUCUAAGUGCAUGCAUAGUGAGUUUGAAAUGAGCAUGAUGGGAGAACUCAACUUAUUCCUUGAACUUCAAAUCAAGCAACUAAAGGAAUGAACCUUCAUCAAUCAAGCAAAAUAUAGAAGAGAUCUUCUCAAAAGGUUCAACAUGGAAGAAGCCAAAACAAUGAAGACUCCAAUGAGCUCAUCCAUCAAGCUUGAUAAGGAUGAGAAAGAUAAAUCCAUUGACUCAACUAUGUAUAGAGGCAUGAUAGGUUCUUUGCUAUAUUUGACCGCUAUUAGACCCGACAUCAUGUUUAAUGUAUGCUUGUGUGCUAGAUUUCAAUCUUGUCCUAAAGAAUCUCAUUUAAGUGUCGUAAAACAAAUUCUUAGAUAUUUGAAAGGGACAAUGGACAUAGGCUUAUGAUAUCCUAAGAGUGAUGACUUUGAAUUAAUUGGAUUCUCGGAUGCCCAUUUUGCCAGUUGUAGGGUUGAAAGAAAAAAACACUAGUGGCACUUGUCAUUUCCUAGGACACUCACUUGUUUCAUGGCAUAGUAAGAAGCAAAAUUCAGUAGCUUUGUCAAAGGCGGAAGCCUAAUACAUAGCAGCCAGUUUGUGUUGUGCACAAAUUCUUUGGAUGAAACAAACACUUAGUGAUUUUGAUUUAUCUUUUGAGCAUAUUCCUAUUAAAUGUGAUAACACUAGUGCCAUAAAUAUUUCAAAAAAUCUCGUGCAACACUCUAGGACUAAGCAUAUAGAGAUUAGACAUCAUUUUCUUAGAGACCAUGCACAAAAGGGUGACAUUACACUUGAAUUUGUAAGCACAAAAGAUCAACUUGCCGAUAUUUUUACAAAACCUCAAAGUGAAGAACAAUUUGUUGAUAUUAGAAGACAACUAGGGGUGAUUUCUUUAUGAUCUAAUGAUUGCUUAAUGAAUUCUUGAUGAAUAUACCUUCUGAUUGCAUGAAUUUCAUGUCAUAUGCAUCAUAUAGACAUAUACUUAGAUAAAUGGUCAAUUUUUUACCAAAAAUCAAAAUUCCCUUGGCAUUAGGCAUCAAAAAUUAGGGAUUUCAACUGAAAAGGGCAUGGAGGAUCACGAGAUGAGAAAAUGCACAAAAAUUGAAAAGUUGACCACGUUGACCGUUAAUCAAGCGGUCAACCGAAUCAGGACCGGUCGACUGGUUUGUCGGGGCUAGCGAUUUAAAUACCUCCCUGCACUUCAUUUUCUCUCUCGUUUUCUCUGGUUCUUCAAGUGUUCUGCCAAUUCAACUGCCAAGAAGGUAUUUUGAGGCCAUUAUAGCAGAUUAAGGGCUUCAAAUUGAUUUUUGGAGGCUAGGGCUUUGGUUUUGGGACCUAGGGCUUUGGAUUUGGGAUGGCUUCUCCUCCUUCAACGUGCAUCACAACUGGUUUCAACUCUUUUCCCGCGCACCUAAGGUUUUAGGUGUGUGUUUCUCUCUCUACCAGCCUCGUCUCCUUCAUCUUUGCUUUUCUGAUGGCUCAUAUGAGAGAGAUGGUUGUCUCUAGGGCACAGGGCAAGUGCCCUACUAAGCUGUCUCAGCCUGCUCAGACGGAGGCUCACCAAAAGGCAAGGUUUGAAACGACCCUUUUUAGCACCGUGGAGGAUUAUAAGAGGUACAAACAGAAAUUCGUUUAGAGGAAAGUAGUUACAUGGAGAAGUAUCAAUUUCUCCCAACUACAACAUUUCGGGUUUGAGGGACUUUUCGGACGAAUGGGGUAGUUUCCCAUAGUGACUAUUUCGGAGCCGAUUUUCCCGACAUUAGUGCGAGCAUUCUACUUGAGAGUGACAUAUGGACUUGGUGGACCAAUUAUUUCCACCGUUAGAGGUGUUGAGAUCCAACUGGACCCGGAGAGCAUCUAUCGUAUUUUAGAUAUUGCUCCAAUUGGACUCAAGGUGUAUGAGUCCAAGGCUUAGCCCACUGUGCCGGGUUUUGAGCCUAAAGAGGCCAUUUAGAGAAUAUGUGGACUUGCAGACGCCUAGGUCAUGGGCAAACCAUUGGCCCAUAGCCUGACCGUUAUUAGUCAAGUACUUCACCACAUGAUCUACUCCAUCCUGUUGCCAUGAGGCGAACACCGAGAUGGGGUCUCCUACCUUGAGGCAUUCCUCGUGGACUCCAUUCUGACGGGGAGAUGGAUUCAUGUGGGGUACUGAUGAUGAUGCACAUGAUAUCAUGUUGCGAGAGCACGACUUGUGUACUCCCCUAUGACCGCUUCCUCACUAGAGUGUUCAAGGAUGUCGAGGUUGAUUUGAGCAGAGAGACAGAUUUUGAGGCCCCCAAUAUUUAUGAUACAUAUGAUGAGCAAUCUUUGGGGCAGAUGAAGUUUGAAGAGGCCCCGAUGGAUCCUGGAUUAAGAGAGCAGAGCAACCACCGGUACAAGCCCGAGGAUAGGGACAGGUGCAUCCUAGAGUAGAGGAGGAGGCCAAGAUUCGAGAGAUGGAGGGUGGGUUAGACCCUCAGAGAGGCUUUGAGCAAAGAAAGCCCGAGCUUGACAUUCCUCCACUCCACUCAAAGGGUGUUCAGUUUGAGGCUAUAUAUUUUUAGCCGAUGAUGUCUGAGCCGACAUAUACAGCGGGACCAUCUUCUCAACCAUCAUUCACUGAGCCUCCUCAUGCAGAGACAUCACCUCAUCAAGCACCUGACGCUCCUGAUCACGAGCCUUGGAUAGACUUAUCUGCUCAGAUCAGCUCUCUUGGCACUCACAUAGAGGAGCUUGUAGUAGUCAGUGAUACUCGAUUUUACUCCAUGGAGGAUCGCAUGGAUCAAUAUCAGACUGGCUUCUCCUCUCAAUUUGAGUAUCUAUAGCAAAGAUUUGAGCAUAUGGAAGAUCGCAUGGAUCAGUAGCAGGCUACAUUUGAGCAUAUCCAACAGAGGAUUGAGAGCAUUGAGAGUCUCUAGAAGAGUCAGCAUGAGGAGAUGAUGGCUUACCUACUCUCCCUGUUUCCACCUCCACCUCCUCAGCCUUGAUUUCAUAGAGACCUCCUUCGUUUUUUUUUUUAUGUGGCCAAAAGGGGGAGAGAUAUUUAGGAUCUAGGGUCUAGGAAACCUACAUGCAUAUCAUUGUCAUAUCAUCUAUUUGGAUUAGCUUAUAUGUUUAUGUUUCGUGUACAUUUGACUUUACUAUAUAUAUGAUAUGCUAUAUGUUUCAUGACUUACACUGUUUCCUAUUGAAAAUUCGCAUGUCUUGAUUAUCUUGGUUUUAAAUUCAUAAAUUUUGAUUGACUGAUCCAUGAUUGGUUUGAGAGGGAGAUUUUUUCUUCUCCUAGAUAACCAAGGUUUGUCAUCAUAAAAAAUGGGGAGAUUGUUAGCCCAAGGGUUCUCCUAAUCAAGUUUUGAUGAUAACAAAUCAUGGUUAAGUGACUAAUUGGUUUGAAUGGUAAAAAAUCUCAGGUAUAAAUUUGGAAAUUCAUCAAACGACUAAAUGGAUACAAGAUCGAGACUUUUGGAAGACUUUUGAUCAUAGGAAACAAAUGUAAGAUGAAUGCAUAGGUGCACUUAGGUUUUACAUCUCUUUUCAUGCAUAUUUGAAAACUCGGUUUAUUAUUUAAAAUUACAAUUUCAUUAAAACCUGAGUUUUAUCAAAUGUACCUUAGGCAAAACGUUUCAAAAUUGGCAUAUUAAUUUACCUAAAGAUCUUGCCUAAGAGUUAGAAAGGAAAAGAAUUGAAAAAGAUAGGUUUUCAAGGCCAAAAGGCUGAACUGGUCGAGGCACAGGCCAACCUGCUUAACCGGCCAAGGAACCGAUCGAUCGAUUGCCCUUGCCCAGUCUACGUCCGAUCGAGGAGUGUCAAAAACACUCUCUCUCAUCCAGUAGCCUUCCCUUCCCGGUUAAGGUACCCUCUUUCCUAGUUGACCUCCGGCUGAGGUCCGGUCGAGGCAACGGUAACCUGCCAAAGCAUUAAAUGCUCCAACUUCUAGUGAACCAAUCGACCCCCAGCUCGAUUGGUUGAGGCUACUUUUUGCUUUUCUUGGCUCCCGAGCUUAGAAACCUAUAAAUUGAGAGCUCCACUUCAUUUUUGACAUAGAGAACACUUGGAAUCAAUUGUCUACCCACUUGUUAUUGCCUUAAAAGCUCUCAUUUCUUUCUUAGUGCAUUAAAUCCUCACUUGCAUAUCUUUAGUGCACCCUUGUGAGUCAUCCUAGCUUUGAUUAGUAUUUGAGCUAUCAUUGAGCUAGGUUGAGGGAUUCAUUCUUGUAAGAAUUGAGUGUUAAAGCCUUCAAGAGGUUUGAUUCUUGAAGAGAUUGUGUAAGAGCGCAUUGGAGCCGGAAUCCAAGUGUAAAGGAUUGGAAGCUUGGUUGAAGCUUCAAGUUAGUGGGACUCUCACUCGGUUAGGAGAUUGAAGAGAGUGGAGGUAGGCAAGAAAGUGUCGAACCACUAUAAAAUCCAAGUUUGAAUUCUCUAAUUCUAUCUCUUUAUUUUUUAUUAUAUUAUGCUCGAAUUUGUUGUGCUGAAAAAGUUUUUGAAAAACCUAAUUCACCCCUCUCUUGGGUGUUUUUCUCAUUUAAGCAUAGCCUUUAUUUUCUCAAAAUCAAAAUGAACCAAAUUUACCUCAUAUUUGGAAAACCCUAAGGAGAGAAAGAUGCAUAGGUAGUGGCAGCAAGAUGUAGUGCAUAGUGACUCUAAGAGGAUAGGGAAGGUAUGAUUACUACUCAAAAAGUGCUAUUUCAUAGCUUGUAAUUAACUCUUUUAAACACUCUUGAGUAGUAAUUAUUACCUUUUAACUCAAUUGACAUGUUAAGGACCCUUGCAAUCGUUUCUAAUCAAAUUGUGUUAAGUUUUGGUGUUUUUGAUAGCUUUUAACUACACCAAAGCAAUCCAAGAAUGAGGGAGAGCUGUAUAUAGUUCAUGGCAAAGCUUUUGGAAGCUCAAAUUCAUGAAGAACCAAGCUUUGGAGCUCCAUAUCCCUUUGCCAAAGUCGUUCAAAGUAUGCAAGGAAAGAACAACGAAGAGAGGAAAAACAGAGUGAAGAAAAUAGAAAACAGCAGCUGCAGUCUUCUUUCAUACUUUUGGAGCACUUCCCGAAGUCCAUUUUCUACAUACUAUAUACCAUUUCAAAGCUCAGGAAGUCAAAAAUCCAACGCUUCAAACGGUGUGCAAUUCGGAGUUGAAAUGAAGGAUUUACAGCCAUUGGAAUCCAAUCACUCCAAGCUGAAGGAAGAAUUUUGCACGGCUACGAAAUCACCCUUUUGCUGCGAAAUGAUUUUGCAGCCAUUUUGCACAGUGCUGUAGAAUUCCUCCUGAAGUUUCCCGAUAUUUGCGACACGUUGGAAGCCGAAUACUGCAAGAUAAAAGCCAACUUCGCAGAGCUGCGAAAUCAGUCUUUUGCUGCGAAGUGAUUUCGCAGCCCUUUUUGUGCAUCUACGAAAUCUCGCAGACCUCGUUUACACCUGCGAAAUGGUCCUUAGUGCUUCCCGAUAUUUGUCCACCAACUCUUUUAGAUCUUUUCUUCAGAUAUUUUUGUAUAAAUUUCCAUUCUUCUCCUUGUAAUCCACCAACCAUAAGAUUUCUUAGUUAGGAAGGUUGGAAAAACGUCUCUAUAUAUAUUCCCUUGCAUCCACUGUAAAAGAUAUAGAUAUAUAAAUAUAUAGAAUAUACAGAGCCUUGCUCUAUUUUUUCCUUCUCUUUCAUUUCCAUUUUCUUGCUAACCAAACUCUGAGGAUUUUUCCUCAGAGGAUGAGAGGCUAGGCUUUUCGUCUCUUGGAGUAAGGAAAUCCGGGUAAGUUUCCACAUGCAUAAUUUGGAAGUUUUGUUGUUUUAGUUUUUAAUGAAGAGAAAGUGUGACCCAUUAAUGGUUUUUAUCUUUUUAGUUAACUUAAAAUGCCUUUAAAUCACCUGGGCCAACACUUGGUAAGGCAAGUGAUCUCCGUCCAUGGAGAUGCACUAGUUUAUCUCUUGCGAGCUUUUGGUAGGUGGUUUGAAGGUAGGAUUUUCUAGAAUAGCCAACACUUGGUAAGCUUUUGGACUCCAAGAAGACAUCCAUUAGUUAUCUCUUGCGAGCUUUUGACGGGUAAUCCAAGGUUAAAGAUCAUCUUGAAUGGCAAGUGCUAGGUGAGAGGUAUGAGCCAUUGCAAGAUGCAUCAGUGAGAGGGAUUUAGUGUUUGAACCCAUUAAUGGGAAGCAUCUGUACAACACCGGUUAGAGAAUUAACUAUAUGUUAAUUCUCUAAUGCGAGGAAAAGAAACAAGUGACUGGAACUCUCCUUUUUGUAUGAAGAACCUGAGCCUAGUGGUCUGAACUCCAAGAAACAUUUUUCUUUUUAAGUAAAAUCAGUUACUAUUUUUGGUUAGUUUAAAACCAAACCUUUUUCAUUCAUACAUCUUUAUGUUUUCUUUUAAAGCUAACCUUGAAAUGAAAAAGCACCAAUUCAGCUUUGAAUUAAUAUCAUUUGCAAAGUGAAAACCCAUCCCAGUGAAUGAUCCUAGAGCCACUAUGCUAUAGUAGCUUUGUCUUUGCUACCCUAGUUCAUGGUGUAAUAGGUUAUAAAUUUUGUUGAUUACUCCCUCAAUCAAGGAGCACCAGCUGGACACGAAUCAGCUGAGACACCAAUUGGGCACGAAUCAAGGUAACCAUGGGAACUUCAUGUGGCUGGAAGUGGUGGUAGUGAAAUUGAUGGAGGGAGGGAGAGAGAGAGAGAGAAAGAAUAGGAGAAUGAGAGAAAGAGUGUAGUGGCUAGUGGUGGCUGGAGCGAUGCUGAAGAUGGUGUCAUCGGUGAUAAAGGCUUGGUGGAUUCAUGCAUAGUGGUAAGGGAGUUGGUUGAUGUAAUGGAGAAUAAAUGAAAGAAAUAAGAAAGAAAAAAAAAGGGAAAGAAAUGGGAAAAAAGAAGGGAAAAAUAGAAAAAAAAAUGGUUGCACGUGAAGAAGAGAGGAAAAGAAGGAAAAGUGAACCUAAAGCUAGUUUACUCCUCAUAUGUCAUCAUGGUAUAUAAGUUCGAAGCGAGGACUAUUGGGACCCAUAGGAUUAUUGGCUCCCUCAUAAUCCAAUUCUUAAGUUGAUUCAAUAUUCCACUAUAGAGAAUCAAUUGCACUCUAGUACCUUAUGUAAAUAACAACGAGAUGAAGCUCAAGUCUGUCACCUACUAUCUACUACAUGCAAACUCUCCAUAAACUGGUGUUCGUAAUCUAACAAGAUAGUGUUAUCACAUAUUAAGAUUACCCUCCAAUCCUUAUAUUAAAGAUCUCACUUAUUAUGUGAUCAACUGGCGUACUCUAAUUUCAAGGUGAAUAUGUCAAAUUACACUAAAGGAAUUACUAUGGCUAUAGAUUUCAUAAUCACAUGUCCUUGGUUCACCCAAUGGAACACAUUUUCUCAAUCCCAUGAGAUAUCAUGAUGCCUCUAUUGAGAAUAAUUGUUGCCACCAACCUCCAUUAGUAGUGACGCAAUGCAUAAGGAUAUAUGACCACUUUAGGGUCUCACCCAUAGGUCAAUGCUUCCUGUUGAUUUUGAUAUAGGCUCAAUAUCCUCUCAAGGUUGAGACUCUAUGCAUAAUAAUACCUUGGUGAAUCAUGACACUUGAUAGUCUUUUGUAAUGAUUUACCGUAAGUCUUAUCCAGUGUGCAUCACAUACACUAGUGCACUCAUCAUGGGAAAUUCAUUCCGAAAACUAAGAUAAGUCAUCCCUCCAAUUAAGAGGUAGUACAGUACAAUCUCUACUGGAUUGUCUAAAUCCAUGUACUGAUUAUGGAUAACUUAUCUACUUACAAGGAACCCAUGACUAUCAAUUGUGACGUAGUGGUUUUGUUAAAGCAUCUGCUAGUUAAUCUUCUAAUGACAUAUGAGCAACAUGAAGAACACCAUGUUAAACCCAAUCAUGAAUGAAAAAAAAUCAAUGGCCAUAAACUUCACACGAGAGUGAAACAUAGGGUUGGAACAUAAUUGCAUUGCACCAACGUUAUCGUAAAAAAUCACAAAUGUUUGAAGAAUCCAAACAUGUAGUUCAAUCAAAAGAGAGCACACCUAGUUGAGUUUGAUAGCAAUAGAGGCAAUAGAUUUGUAUUCAACUUUUAGUAGAGAGUGGUCUCCUCGAAGUCCAAGUGCUGAAUAGAUUCAACUUGAUGGUUUAGAGGCUAGGUGAGAGUAGUGGGAUCUUCUUAAGUUAUAUUUCCAAAACGUUUUAGGAGCUUUUAUCAGCAAGGAAGUGAAUCAAAUGGAUAAACAAUGAGUUAAAACAGAUAAAUAGUGAGAAAUCAAACUUGAUAAGGGUUGUGACCUAACUCAAAAAGAGGGUGAGAGAAUUGUAAAAGAUGGUGAAAGAGAAAAAUGAGAAGGUAAGGAAAAGAUGGAAAUUAUAAGGCAACUAUGUAUAUGGAUUGAUUAUCACCACAUUGAUCUAUAUUCUCUCAAAAUCAUCUCAAAGACAAACACCAAAAGCUUAAGAAUUGCUUAAAAAUCAUCUACUGUGUUUUAGUUCCAUUCUAUCCAUAUCCCUUUAACAAAUUCUUCAUUCUUUCUUCAACAAGUCAAGCAUAUAGAUAAGUAUGCAAGAAGGCUUAUGGAUUGGAAAGGGAGUUUUAAGUGUCAAUUGAAAAUGGUAAGACGACAAAAAGCGUGAAAAAUAAAGCAAUUUUUCUUUUUUGGUUAAAGAAAGUUUGUUGAAGGUCUGAAUAAGAGAUGACAAAGCAUUGAUGAAGAGAAUCUAUUGGGUCUUCUUCUUUCUUUUCUUUUUUCUUUUCUUUUUUUAAAAAAAUUGCAUGCAUCAUGAAAAUGAUAAAUAGCUAAAAAGAAAUAAAAUAGAGACCUAGGAUAAGGGGAAAAAGAUACUAAAUCUUAUAAAUGACAAAGGUUUAAAUGAAAAUGAUGGGAAUGGAAAAUGAAACUUGAAAAGAUAACCACUUAUUGAACUAAUUGAGGAUUUCUAGAGAAAUAAUCAAUCACUUAAUGAUUAAUAUGACAAUCUCACUAAAAUGCUAAGAGAAAAAAAAAUUCAUGGCAAACAUGGAAGAAAAUACUUCAUGUACUAACAACUCAAAGUCAAGGCUCGGAUCAUUUAACAAAGGAAAGUAGUAGUAAAAAUGGAAAAUAUUUGAGUACAAAAACCAAAAGCAAAGGAAAUCAUCACAAAUUGGAAAUCUAAAGUUGAAAGGUUGGAUGCUGGAAAAAAAAAUUGAAAUUUUGGUUGAGAAUGGAGAUCUCAAACAAAAUUGGAUAGUGCUAGUAAUUUAGAAGCUCAACUAAACUAGAGAUUGAAAGAUUUAAAUCAUGAGAGAGAGAAUUUAAUAAUGGAAAAAAAAUUAUUAUGAAAAGGAUUAAUGAGGAAUAUCUAAAAAGGGACCAUGCUAACAAAGAAAAGAUCUUGUAUAGCUAUAAAGAAAGUACCAAUCAUCAAAAAUGAAAAAAUGGUGAUGUUUUAGACCAGCACAAGAAAGAUGAUCAAUUAAGAAUAAGAGAUAACCUUGGUGAUCAUCAUUUCUUUCAAACACAAAGAUGAGAGUAAGAUGUAGAGGGAAAGAGAGGAGAAGCAACGAGAAAGAGAAUAAUAACAUAGACUCCAACCAUCCCAUAAAGAAAAUCUAUCAAAGUAGGAAAGAGAAUAAGGAAGAAGAGUAGUAAAAAGUGGGUGAGGUUUAAAAGACAAAGUGUGGGUCACGAAUCAUAGGAGAAAGAUGAGCAUAAAGGCUAUGACAUCAUAUAAGGAAAGAAGAAGAUUAAGAAAAUAUGUCAUAACUUUCCCAUUGAUGAUUUGAUGAAUAUUUAAAUACAAAUCAUGUUUGAGUCUGUCUUAUACUCUAAUUUAAAAUAAUAGUAAUUAUCUUCUAUUUAAGUUAAACUAAUAAUAGAUAAAUAUUAUAUUUAAAAUGAAAAUAAAUAUUAACUUUUGCUAACAUGCUAAUAGUUAACUUGAUUUAUCAAAUACCAUCCAGCUAUUUUGUUGACAUCUUUUUCUAUACUCUACUAUAACUCAAAAAGCUAUUCCAAACAAACUUAAAUAAUUGGACCUAAAAAAAGUGCUCUCCCCUUCUAAUGCACACUACAUUUAUUGGUGGAGUAGAAAGUUUACCACUCAAUCUAUGGCUUGGCAAGAGGAUUAAAAAACUUCUUAACCUUACAACAAUAAAAUAAAUCUAACCAAAUUAUAAUUUGAUACUCAUAAUUACUUCUAACAUAGGUUAAGUCUUUGAGGUAAAGAAUAUUUUGAAUCAAACAAAUUCAAAAGAUUAUGUUGACACACUAACCUAUGCACCCUACAUGUCAUUAUAGCAUUUCCGCAUAUUUUCAUUCCUCCAAUCAAAAUUUUGGGAUAUUUAGAAAAGUUAUGGUGAAAUUCAUGCUAAUGAAAUUGUUUUGUUUUAAAAACUUAAUUGAACAAGCCAGUUUGACCGGUCAAAUUGUCAAUUGGACCUUAAUUCAGUGUGAUUCACUUAAUUAGACCAAAAUUAAUAUGAACCGACAUUGAAUGGUCUAUCCAACGGUCCAACCACCAAAUAAGUGGAUCAACCUGAUUAGUUCAUAAGUUCGAACCUCCAUCUUUUUUUUAUUUAACUCAUAUUAGGCCUAACAUUCAAAAGCCCAAUAAAUAGUCCAAACCCAACUUGAGUUGACCAAUAUGCUUCUUAAUGGCCAUUUAAUAGUCAUAAGAUGGGCCCAAUAUUCUCAAGCCUAAUGCAAGCUUGGCAUUUUUAUAGGAUAGUUGUGAAGCUUUUGCUAAAUAUAUUUCCAAUGUGGGAUUCCAAAAAAAAACCAUCUAUAAAAUGGGUGGACAAGAUUGGGUCUCUGGUGGUAGAAAGGGGGUGCACGACUCUUGUAUUUAAAUGCAUUUAAUAUAUAUAUAUAUAUAUAACAACUUCAAAUUUUAAAAAUAAUAAAAUAUAUGAUUAUUAAAAUCUAAACAACUUUAAAUAAUAAAAUCUUAUUUUAUCUUAAUAAUUAAAUAUUAAAUAUAUUUAAUAAAAUUAAAAAUAUUAAUAAUUUAAUAAAUCUUCAUGUGUUAUAAUUGAAGUUAUGAAUGUCACCACAUUAAUUAUAAUAAAUUUUAAUUAAAUAUUAUUUAUGAUUUCUAUUAAUACUCAUUAAUGGAAACCAUUAAAUAUUAUUUAUGAAUUCCAUUAAUAUCCAUUAAUGGGAAUAUUAAUGGAAGUCAUUUGGAAAGCCUAUAAAAGGGUUUCCCAUCCCCUGUAAUAUGUACCUCCAAGUAAGAAAGAAAUUUAUCUCUUUCUCUUCUUCUCUUUGUCUUUCUGAUGCGACUCAUGGUAGCUUAGCUUUAAAGGCGUAUCAACAAAAUUUAUACCUUAAAUACUAUUACUAAAGUAGCCAAGCUACUAUAGCAUAGUGGUUCUAGGAUCGUUCACUGGGAAGGGUUUUCGCAAACACAAGUGAUAUUCAAAUUAGGAAAAUAGGUGAUUUUCUUAUGGAUGUUAGCUUUAAAAGAAGAUGAAAAUGUUUUAGAAAGAUUUAAACUAAUCUAAGCUAACAUUAAAGACUAAAAUAAAAGGGUGUAAAAGCAAGUUUCUCAAAGAUAGGAUAGCUAUGCUCUGGCUCUUAUGCAAAUUGGAAAUCUAAGGAUAGGCUCCUCGCGUUGGGGUUGCAACUAUGGUGAUGCUUGCUUCCCGAACCGGUAUGGAUUUAGCAAAUCAAGUUUUAAUCCUUUAAAAUGGCAAAACAGAUGGUAGUGAAUUUCAUCAAUGGUUAUUCACCUUAGACUUCCUUUGAAUGGCUCGUAAGAGAUAACUAAUGGUCUAAAGCCAAAAGCUUACCAAAUAUUGGCAACUCAAAGUCAUUCCAGGUGAUAAACUCACCUUUCAAUGGCCAUUGAAAUUGGUUCUAACGGAUUAAUGCAAAACUUGGAAUUGAAAACCUCACCUUCCAAUAGCUCGUAGGAGAUAACUAAUGGAUAGAAAUCCAAAAGCUUAUCAAGUAUUGGCCGUUGGAAGUUGUCCAAAGGAAAUAAAAACCAAACUUUGCAUUAAUGAACCAUUAAUGAAAAACGACUACCUUACCUUCCAGGUGCGAGAAAUUUCCAUGGGAUUGCAUCCAAGCCAUCACAUAACAUCCAUACUUUGAGAAACUAAAAGUUUUAGCCAAUCAUCCUCUGAGGAAAAGCCCUCAGAGGUUGUUUGGAUACUAAGAAAAUAGAAAUGGAGAAGAACGGGAGAAGAGAGAAAAACAAAGCUUUAUAUAUCUCUAAGUUAAUGUACAGAGGAUCGAUCCCCAAAACAUCCCCCUUUUUUCAUCCCCCUUUUGGAGGUGUUGUGCACCUCUAUAUAUAGCAAAAUUACAAGAUAAAGCUUUAUGUCGGCUGAAUACAAGGUUACAAAAGGAAUUUACAUGAGAAAAUAUCAAGCUAAAAAUAUUUGGGAAGUCGGUGGUGCGUGCGUGGAGAAACAGAGGAUUCAAAGGAAUUUCGCAAUGUAAAAGGCACAUUGCGAAAUUUUCGCAAGGUGAAUUACUCAUGAUGCGAAGUGCCAUAUUUUCGCAUCAUGAGUUAAUUCACCUUGCGAAAUUUUCGCAAUGUGAAAUUCACAUUGCGAAAUGGCAAAAUUUCGCACCAUGAAGAAAAUCACAUUGCGAAAUUUUCGCAAUGUGAAAUUCACCUUGCGAAAUUGGUCAUUUGGCAUGAUGCAGUUGCCUUCCGAAGGCCAUAUCUUCCUCAUUUCAGCUCCAAAUCAUACACGGUUUGAAGCGUUGGAUUCUUGACUUCCUAAGCUUUCAAAUGGUAUAUAGCAUGUAGAAAAUGGACUUCGGGAAGUGCUCCAAAAGUGCGAAAUAAGACUGCAGCUGUUUUCUUCACUCUGUUUUCCUCUUCUCCAUUGCUUGUGCUCGUGUUUCCACUUGAAAUUCAAGCCUGUAAUCAUCCAAAAUCCUUGCUUAACUCGCCCAAAUAGCUCCUCCAUCAAUUGGCAUGCUUGAAUUGGUUCAUAAGCUGAUAAAAACAUGUAAACUUGCCACAAAAUUGUUAAAACCAAUUACUAAGGACCUUAAUGAAUUAAUUGGGUUAAAUGAAUAUGAUUACUACUCAAAGGUGCUUAAAACCAUUAUUAUUAGGUCUACAAAAUAGCACUUUUUGGUAGUAAUCACACCCCCCAACCGACUCAUUGCUAGUCCCUUAGCAAUGGAGGAGAUAAAAACUAAGUAAACUAUAAUAAUAUACAUAAAAGGGAUCAUGCAAAUCACUCCAAAAAAUGACAUGAGUGGCAUGAUGGACAUCCAUGGAUCAAUAAAGAUGUGAAACUCAACCUAUAAUAAGAGUUGUCAAAGCAUUCACUUGAUCAUAGAGUACAAAGAAUGGAUAUUAUGCAAGUUUAAGCAUCAAAAGAAUUUCCACUCUCAAAAGAUCCAAAUCAAAUUCUUCCACUAAAAGCUAAGUGUUAAUGUGAUUAGCUUCCGAGUAUAGUAUGAAUAACUAUCAUCUCCCCCCAACCUAAGUCUUUCUUUAAGCUUUAGCAAAAUUAACCAUCUCUUGAUAGGCUAGGAACGCACCUCUUAUUCACAAUUCUUUUCACUUACUAAACUUAACCAAUUCACCCAUGUAACAAGCAGAGGAUCGGUGACUCCCAACCAAUAAAGGCUUAGGGCACCAGGCUUUAAAGGCUUUCGCCACCCCUUCGGACCAUGCUCAGGUUUCAAGGCAAGUAAAGAAGUUUAUUCUAUAUUUUUUUUUUCUUUUUCUUUUUCGUUUUCUUUUUUCUAUUUUUUCAAAGACUCAUUGGUCUUUAUGAGGUGUCCCAACACUAUUAAAGAGAGGUUAAAGGUGUCAAAUUAUGAUUUCUCAAGCUUAGAGGGUGAGAUAGUUUCACAUCUUAUAACCGAAAUCUAAUGUAUGUGUGUGCGAAUAGCUUAAGGUGGAAGAGAUAAGUUUGCAUGCAAUGGGAGUUUCAACCAUUCAUCAACUUUUAGAAGAGCAUAAUACAAACUCUAAGACUCAUGUAAUCAAGUUGAAACUCGACUUCUCUCAUUUAAUUUUGAGAGUUAAUCCUUAAUAUCCAUGGAGUUUAAAGCAAAAAUUUUAAAAAUUUUAAAAAGUAGCUAAUUUAACUAAGUAUGAUAAAAAUUUAAACUAAUACUUACUUCCUCAUCUCUCCCCCCAACCGAGAUGAACAUUGUCCUCAAUAUUUGAAUCGAAAAUAAGGAGGAAGGAAUUGGUACCUCAUGUGAUGUGGACUUGGAGUUGGGAAGGUUGAACCACCUGUUUCAAAAUUCAAAAAUUGAAUGAGAGAGGAAUUUAUACUAAAUAUUUACAAAAAUGAUGAGUGGGCCCCACUUUGAGCAGCUGAGGACAAGACUCAAAGGGUCCAUGCCAUGAUGGUAUACUCAUAUAAGUUGCAAUGACAUUUGAAUGUAGCUUGCAGGGUGUUAAAAUUGGAGAUUUUUGGCUCAAACAGGGGAAAACAAAGGAGAAGUGAACAGUGAGUGCCAAAAUUGGCACAGUCACUGUUCACCUCCUUUGAAGCCCGACUGUGCGUUUUCCAAGUUUUGGGAAAAAAUUCAAAAAUGGUUUUUUAAAAGGUAUGGUUAGGCUCUAAACAAGAUUCCUAAGGUGUUUGGGUAGUUUUUAAAUGAUGAAAAACAAAAUUAAAUGAUGGAAAAUGAAAAUCAAAGUGGACGGCCAUGCAUGGAAUGGUUUUGAAAUUCGAUUUUUAAAAAGUUUUGGAUGGAUGGGAUUUGAAAAAAAAAGGUUUGGAAAUGCAUUCAUGAAUUUUUAAACUUGGAAAAACAUGGAAUUCAAGAAAAAGGCCUUCCCAAAAUGUAUAGAAAUUCCUUUUCGCACCAUGCACUGUCACUGUGCGAAAAAUUCGCACUGAGUGUGUUCAUGGUGCGAAAUUCCACUGAGAGCUUUGCUUAUGCAUUUUGGCUCCCCUGUUUCCUCUGUUUCACCUCCAUUUCGAUUUUUGCAAGCAUCGUACCUGCAUGAACACUUCAAAACUCAUCUUAAAACCAUAUUAAAACUAAAUUAAAGCUAAGAAUUCAAACUAAAACAUGCAUAAAUUUAAAGAAAGCAUAGAAUUUAAAUGAAGCUGAUAGCAUGUACCCCAAAAAGAAGAUGAACUAUUUAGCUCAUCCUCACUCACACACCCACUUCAUGCUGAAUUCCCCCUGGAUCCCAAACAAAAUUGGCAUCCUUCCCAUUUGGUCCAAGGGAAUUCGUUUCUCUUCUCUUCCCUGGAGAAGUGGAUGCUUUAAAGGGUUCAAGUAACCCUUUAUCAUCUUGAACCUUAUGAUUUUCAAUGGAAGGUUGGUCCAUAAAGUUGUCAUAGCAAUCCCCCACCAAAGUGUCGAUCAUCAACACUUUCCUUGAUCUUUUUGCAUUGGUUCCUUGAAGGUUAUGGUGGGGUUGAGGAGGAAGCGUCCUUUUCCCCCUUGCUAUGUCGAGAUUGGUGAGCUUCUCAAUGGAGUCUUGAACUUUUUCUAUCCUUAGUGAUAGAUCAUUGUAAACCCCCUCCAUUUUUACAUUUAUUGAACUCUCCAAAUUAUCAAUCUUUUCAUUAAGAUGAGAGUUGAUCUUUUGUUGCUCACCUACAAAGUCCUCCAUGACUUUGCUUAUCUUCAAAAUGGCUUGCUCCAAUGAAGAUGUACUCAUUGAUGGUUGAGGUUGAGGUUGGGUUGCAAGGUUGGGAUGGUUUAUAUACUCAAAUGAAGUUGGCAUGGCUUGUGGUUGUGCUUCAGUAUGCACAUUCCUCAAUUCAAACUCCUCUAUCCUUCUAGCCAUAGAUGCUAGCUUUGCCUUCAUGCUUAUGUCUUCAUUCAAGACAUACUUACUACCCCAUUGGCUUUGUUGAACUUGCCUUUUCCCUAACUCAAUCCGAUCCCUCAUGGAUAGGUAUGCAAAUUUGUCCUUAUUAUGAUCAUAAUGAGAGCUUUGAUCUUCAUGUGGAAUUUCCAUUUCUAAAAAAAAUGAUAUUCAACUAAGCCUCUUUUCUUCAACUUGUACCAGGGUUCCCUCUUGGUCUCGAAUCCAACAAGGAAUGCACAAAUUGAAAUUAAAACAAAAAUAAAAGAAAAGAGAAUAAAAAAAAUUUAACUAAAUAAAAACUAAACUAAAAAAAAAAAAAUUAUAAGAAAACUCACCAAACUUGUGAUGAAGAUCACAAGUUACCCUUAAUGGUUGCUUCACUGUGCUUGUGGCACCUUCCCCGGCAACGGCGCCAUUUGAUGCUACUCAUGGUAGCUUAGCUUUAAAGGCGUAUCAACAAAAUUUAUACCUUAAAUACUAUUACUAAAGUAGCCAAGCUACUAUAGCAUAGUGGUUCUAGGAUCGUUCACUGGGAAGGGUUUUCGCAAACACAAGUGAUAUUCAAAUUAGGAAAAUAGGUGAUUUUCUUAUGGAUGUUAGCUUUAAAAGAAGAUGAAAAUGUUUUAGAAAGAUUUAAACUAAUCUAAGCUAACAUUAAAGACUAAAAUAAAAGGGUGUAAAAGCAAGUUUCUCAAAGAUAGGAUAGCUAUGCUCUGGCUCUUAUGCAAAUUGGAAAUCUAAGGAUAGGCUCCUCGCGUUGGGGUUGCAACUAUGGUGAUGCUUGCUUCCCGAACCGGUAUGGAUUUAGCAAAUCAAGUUUUAAUCCUUUAAAAUGGCAAAACAGAUGGUAGUGAAUUUCAUCAAUGGUUAUUCACCUUAGACUUCCUUUGAAUGGCUCGUAAGAGAUAACUAAUGGUCUAAAGCCAAAAGCUUACCAAAUAUUGGCAACUCAAAGUCAUUCCAGGUGAUAAACUCACCUUUCAAUGGCCAUUGAAAUUGGUUCUAACGGAUUAAUGCAAAACUUGGAAUUGAAAACCUCACCUUCCAAUAGCUCGUAGGAGAUAACUAAUGGAUAGAAAUCCAAAAGCUUAUCAAGUAUUGGCCGUUGGAAGUUGUCCAAAGGAAAUAAAAACCAAACUUUGCAUUAAUGAACCAUUAAUGAAAAACGACUACCUUACCUUCCAGGUGCGAGAAAUUUCCAUGGGAUUGCAUCCAAGCCAUCACAUAACAUCCAUACUUUGAGAAACUAAAAGUUUUAGCCAAUCAUCCUCUGAGGAAAAGCCCUCAGAGGUUGUUUGGAUACUAAGAAAAUAGAAAUGGAGAAGAACGGGAGAAGAGAGAAAAACAAAGCUUUAUAUAUCUCUAAGUUAAUGUACAGAGGAUCGAUCCCCAAAACAUCCCCCUUUUUUCAUCCCCCUUUUGGAGGUGUUGUGCACCUCUAUAUAUAGCAAAAUUACAAGAUAAAGCUUUAUGUCGGCUGAAUACAAGGUUACAAAAGGAAUUUACAUGAGAAAAUAUCAAGCUAAAAAUAUUUGGGAAGUCGGUGGUGCGUGCGUGGAGAAACAGAGGAUUCAAAGGAAUUUCGCAAUGUAAAAGGCACAUUGCGAAAUUUUCGCAAGGUGAAUUACUCAUGAUGCGAAGUGCCAUAUUUUCGUAUCAUGAGUUAAUUCACCUUGCGAAAUGGCAAAAUUUCGCACCAUGAAGAAAAUCACAUUGCGAAAUUUUCGCAAUGUGAAAUUCACCUUGCGAAAUUUUCGCAAUGUGAAAUUCACCUUGCGAAAUUUUCGCAAUGUGAAAUUCACCUUGCGAAAUUGGUCAUUUGGCAUGAUGCAGUUGCCUUCCGAAGGCCAUAUCUUCCUCAUUUCAGCUCCAAAUCAUACACGGUUUGAAGCGUUGGAUUCUUGACUUCCUAAGCUUUCAAAUGGUAUAUAGCAUGUAGAAAAUGGACUUCGGGAAGUGCUCCAAAAGUGCGAAAUAAGACUGCAGCUGUUUUCUUCACUCUGUUUUCCUCUUCUCCAUUGCUUGUGCUCGUGUUUCCACUUGAAAUUCAAGCCUGUAAUCAUCCAAAAUCCUUGCUUAACUCGCCCAAAUAGCUCCUCCAUCAAUUGGCAUGCUUGAAUUGGUUCAUAAGCUGAUAAAAACAUGUAAACUUGCCACAAAAUUGUUAAAACCAAUUACUAAGGACCUUAAUGAAUUAAUUGGGUUAAAUGAAUAUGAUUACUACUCAAAGGUGCUUAAAACCAUUAUUAUUAGGUCUACAAAAUAGCACUUUUUGGUAGUAAUCACUUUCAUUCUCUCAAUUCUCUUCUUUGAUUCCUUCUUCCCAUUAUAUAUAUAUAUUGUUAAAGUAAUAUAUAUUUUAUCUCUACUUUGAGUUGUGUUGCAUUUAUCCUCGUUUUACAACAUGUUAUCAACACGAAUUGCUCUGAAGGUAAUUCUCAUAUCUUAAACUUGAAGUUAUCUAUAUAGAAUAAAAUUUUACAUAUUUAUAUUAUUGUUGAUUUUGUUUUGUUAUACAUUGUUAAAAGUUAUAAGCAAAUUAUUUGAUUUUGUUUAUAAUCAAAGUUAUACCAAUGCUAUCAAUUUAUUAUAACUGAUUCUAAUAAUAUUGUUUUGUCAUAUAUAUGAAGUUAUUUGACAAUGUCGAAUCUCACAAAACUCGAAUUUGUGGCACUUGACAUUUUGAGAAAGAAUUAUCUAUCUUGGAUGCUUGAUGCUGAAAUACAUCUUAAUGCAAUGAAUCUUGGAGUUACUAUCAAAGAAGGAAAUCAAGCAUCCCUGUAGGAUCACACAAAAGUGUUGAUUUUCCUUUGCCAUCACCUGCAUGAAGGUUUAAAAAAUAAGAAUCUUACGGUAAAGGGCCCUUUUACUCUAUGGAUUAAUUUGAAGGAAACAUACGAUCACCAGAAAACUAUGAUUCUCCCAAAAGCUCGAUAUAAUUGGAUGCACCUAAGAUUGCAGGAUUUUAAAACUGUUAGUGAAUAUAACUUCGCACUUUUCAAAAUCAGCUCUCAAUUAAAGCUAUGUGGAGAAAAAAUCACAAAAGAAGACAUGUUAGAGAAAACUUUUACUACAUUUCAUGCCUUGAAUGUGCUCCUACAGCAGUAAUAUCGAGAGCAUAGAUUUACAAAAUAUUCUAAAUUAAUAUCAUGUCUUCUUGUUGCUGAACAAAAUAAUGAGCUUUUGAUGAGAAAUCACCAAUCUCAUCCAACUAAAUCUGAACCAUUCCCUGAAGUGAAUGCAAUAUCACCCCAAACUCGUAGACAAGGACGAAGACAUGGUCGUGGUCAUGGAAGAAAUCCCCGAUACCAUGGUUCUUAUGGUAAUAAUUCAUCAAAUUCUCAAAAAAAAAAAAAAAAAAAAAACUUUAUUGCACCACCAGAAGUGGAAUAAUAUUGAGGCAAAACAAGAACCAUAAACCUCCUUAGAACCAUGAGAAUAAUUGUUAUAGAUGUGGUUGAAGGGGCAUUGGCCGCAUACUUGUCAUACGCCCAAACAUUUGGUCAACCUUUACCAACCAUCAAUAAAAGCAAAAGGAAAAGAGAUAGAGAUGAACUUUACCGAUGGUGGUGGAUUGGACCUAACUUACUAUAACUUUAAUUUCUUUAAAGAUCCUAGUGAAAAAACAAACCAUUUAAUAAAUGAUGAGAAUAUUAACAUUGAUUGAUGUUACGUUAUAUAUCAAAUAAUAUAUUAUUAUGUCUGUUAGCCCAAGGGUUCUCCUAAUCAAGUUUUGAUGAUAAUGGUUAAGUUACUAAUUGGUUUGAAUUGUAAAGAAUCUCAGGUAUUAAUUUGGAAAUUCAUCAAAUGACCAAAUGGAUACAAGAUCGAGACUUUUGAAAGACUUUUAAUCAUAGAAAACAAAUGUAAGAUGAAUGCAUGGGGGCACUUAGGUUUUACAUAUCUUUUCAUGCAUCUUUGGAAAACUCGUUUUAUUCUUUAAAGUUACAAUUUAAUUAAAACCCGAGUUUUAUCAAAUGCACCUUAUGCAAAACGUUUCAAAAUUGACAUAUUAAUUUACCUAAAGACCUUGCCUAAGUGUUAGAAAAGAAAAUAAUUGAAAAAGAUAGGUUUUCGGGGCCAAAAGGCUGAACCGGUCGAGGCACUAGCCAACCGGCUCAACCGGCCAGGGAACCGGUUGCCCUUGUCCGGUUGAGGAGUGUUAAAAAAACUUUCUCUCAUCCAGUAGCCUUCUCUUCCCGAUUGAGGCAUCCUCCUUCCCGGUCGAGGUCUGAUCGAGGCAAUGAUAACCUGCCAAAGCAUUAAAUGCUCCAACGACUAGUGAACCGAUUAACCCCCAACUUGACCGGUUGAGGCUGCUUCUUGUUUUUCUUGGCUCUCGAGGUUAGAAACCUAUAAAUUGAGAGCUCCACUUCAUUUAUGAUAUAAAGAACACUUUCAUUCAAUUGUCUACCCACUUGUUCUUACCUUAAAAGCUCUCAUUUCUUUCUUGGUGCAUUAAAUCUUCACUUACAUAUCUUUUAGUGCGCCCUUGUGAGUCAUCCUAGCUUUGAUUUAUAUUUGAGCCAUUAUUAAGCUAGGUUGAGAGAAGAUCAUUCUUAUAAAUUGAGUGUUAGAGUCUUCAAGUAAGUUGAAUCUUGAAGAGACUAUGUAAGAGCCAAUGGGAGCCAUAAUCCAAUUGUAAAGAAGAUUAGAAGCUUGGUUGAAGCUUUAAGUUAGUGAAACCCUCACUUGGUUAGGAGCUUGAGGAGAGUGAACGUAGGCAAGAAAGUGUCGAACCACUAUAAAAUCUAAGUUUGAAUUCUCUAACUCUAUCUCAUUAUAUUUGCUUAUAUUGUGCUUAAAUUUGUUGUGUUGAAAAAGUUUUUUGAAAAACCCAAUUCACCCCCCUCUUGGGUGUUUUUCUUAUUAGCUUUUAUUUUCUCAGUGUCUUAUAUUUACAUCUAAUUUUCUUUUGUUAUUUACAUUAUACCUUGUUUUUUUUUAAUAUUAGUUAUAUCUAAAAUCCAUGUGUUAUUUGUUCUCAAGAUGAAUGAGGAUGAUGUAUAUCUCGCAGACUAUGUAACCACACAUAUAAUUCUUCGAAAUAAAAGAUAUUUCCUCGAAUUAACAUUAAUAAAAGCUAAUGCAAGUACCAUAUCUGGUACUAUAAACUUAAUUGAAGGAUCUGGAAGAGCAAACAUAAUGCUACCAAAUGGAACUAGAUUCCAUAUAAAUGACGUUUUAUAUUCUAGCAAAUCCAAAAGAAAUUUGCUCAAUUUUAAAGAUGUCUACAAAAAUGAAUAUCAUAUUGAAACUAUGAAUGAAGAUAAUGUAGAAUAUCUUUACAUUACUUCCAUUAUAUCUUACCAGAAGCUUAUAAUGGAAAAACUCUCGACUCUCGACUUUCUCCUCUGGGUUGUAUCACACAACUAUAAAGCCUAUUGAAUCAUAUGUUGUUGUGAACCAGAAGUUCAAUGACCCAAAAGUUUUUGUCCUUUGGCAUGACAGGCUAGGUCACCCAAGGUCUUCAAUGAUGCGUCGAAUAAUCUAACACUCACACAGGCAUCCACUAAAGAAACAAAAGAUUCUUUUGCCUAAUGAAUACUCAUGUGCUACCUACUCACAAGGUAAAUUGAUAGUCAAACCAUCUUUUACUAAAGUCAUAUCUGAGUCACUAGUCUUUUUAGAAAGAAUACAUGGGGACAUAUGUGGGCUUAUCCAUCCACCAUGUGAACCAUUCCGUUAUUUUAUGAUCUUAAUAAAUGCUUCUACUAGGUGGUCACAUGUUUGUCUCCUUUCUACAGGUAAUGUUGCCUUUGCUAGACUUCUUGUACAAAUAAUCAUAUUACAAGCACAAUUUCUAGAUUAUCCAAUUAAGACAAUACGUCUUGAUAAUGCUGGCGAAUUUACUUCUCAAACAUUCAUUGACUAUUGCAUGUUAGUAAGGAUAAAUAUUGAGCAUCCUGUUGCUCAUACUCAUACCCAAAAUAGUUUAGCAAAAUCCUUCAUCAAAUGUCUCCAAUUAAUAGCUUGACCAUUACUAAUGAAAACCAAAUUACCUACUUCUGCUUGGGGACAUGCUAUUAUGCAUGGUGCAGCUUUAGUCCGUAUUCGAUCUACAACUUACCAUGAAUACUCCCCUUCACAACUUGUGAUUGGAAAACAACCAAAUAUCUCUCACUUACGAAUCUUUGGUUGUGCAGUAUAUGUAUCAAUUAUACCUACACAACACACUAAAAUGGGUCCUCAAAGAAGACUUGGGAUUUAUGUAGGUUUUGAUUCUCCAUCUAUCAUAAGAUAUCUUGAACCUUUGACAGGCGAUGUUUUUAUAGCCUGCUUUGCAAAUUAUCAUUUUAAUGAGAGUGUUUUCCCAUUAUUAGGGAAAGAAAAGUCGAUUCCUGAAGAACAACAAGAAACUACUUAGAACGCAUCUACUAUAUCCGAUCUUGAUCCUCAUAUAAGUCAAUGUGAACUAGAAGUUCAAAGGAUCAUUCAUUUGCAAAAUCUUGUAAAUCAACUACCAAAUGCAUUCAUUGAUACCAAGAAAGUGAUAAAGUCACAUAUCCCAACUGAAAAUACUCCAGCACGGAUUGAUGUCCUUGUAGAAAGUUAACAAAUGAAUCUAAGAUACAUCUGAAGCGUGGUAGACAUAUCGACUCAAAGGUUGUAACUCCCCAGAAGAGGAGAACACAAGAAAAACUUGGCACUUUAGAAGAGGCCAUCAAAAUGUUAAAAUUGAUAAAUCUAUAGCCUUAAAAUAGGCAUAAAUAAUACAGAAAUCCCCUAGAGAAGCACAGAUACCUAAAAAUUGUGAGAUCUCAGUAAGUUAUGUACACACAAGAGAAAAAUGGGAUCAAAAUAAUAUUGUUAUUAACAAUAUUUUCGCUUUCCAAGUGACCUUAGAUAUCAUAAGAAAUGAUGAAGAUCCCGAACCAUGAAAUAUGGAAGAAUGCCAACAUAGAAAUGAUUGGCCAAAAUGGAAAGAAGCUAUGCAGACAGAGUUAAACUCAUUAACAAAACGAGAAGUUUGUGGACCUGUAGUCUAAACACUUGAAGAUGUAAAGCCUGUUGGGUACAAAUGGGUAUUUGUACGAAAGUGCAAUGAGAAUAAUGAGAUCAUAAGAUAUAAUGCGCAAUUAGUAGCAUAAGGUUUCUCGCAGAGACUUGGUAUUGACUACAAGGAAACAUAUUAUCUUGUCAUGGAUGCAAUCACAUUUCGUUUCUUAAUUAGUUUGGCAGUCUCAAAAGGACUAGAUAUGCGUCUCAUGGAUAUUAUUACAACAUUUUUAUCCUGAUCCAUGGAUAAUGAUAUAUACAUGAAAAUCCUUGAAGGAUUUAAAUUUCCUGAAGCAAAUAGUACAAAGCCUCACAGCAUGUACUCAAUCAAGUUACAACGAUCCUUGUAUGAAUUAAAUCAAUUUGGACGCAUGUGGUACAAUUGACUUAGCAAAUACUUGCUAAAAAAAGGGUAUAUGAAUAACCCUAUAUGCCCAUGCAUCAUCAUUAAGAAAUCAAAAACUGGAUUUUGAUUACUACUCAAAAAGUGCUAUUUCAUAGCUUGUAAUUAACUCUUUUAAACACUUUUGAGUAGUAGUUAUCACCUUUUAACCCAAUUAACAUAUUAAGGACCCUUGCAAUCAAUUCUAAUCAAAUUGUGUUAAGUUUUGGUGUUUUGAUAGCUUUUUGAUCACCAAAGCAAUCCGAGAUUGAGGAAAGUUCUUUGGAAUCCAUGGCAAAGCAAUGGAAAGCUCAGAAACAUGAAGAACCGAAGCUUUGAAGUCCUUUGCCAUAAGCAAAUCCGGAAUGCAAGGAGUAUGGGCGUCCGGACACACCAUCGGAGGGCGGCGGAACAUGGGCUGUGGCAGGCUGUCGAAAUGACGUAGCAAGGCUUGUGCACUUUAGUCAAUGAUCCGGACAACAUAUCCGGAUAGGAUAUGCUAUCGUCCGGGUGUGUGAUGUUCGCAAGUGUCAUGUGCUUCUCCCUGAGGGAGUCCGGAUAGGGGAGCGCGCCGCGUAUCCUUUUGGGGAAUCCGGAUGGAGUUGCUCCGGAUGGGUCCCUACACCAUGCACACGCGGACGGUCACCCUUGCGAAGUUCCAUCUUCUCCGGAUAUCCCACAUCCAGAAUUCUGGCUGGGUGACGUUCCACCUUCUUCGGAUAUUUCACAUCCGGUGCCUGACGCCGGAUGGGAAAGGUGGGUUUCAACUUCUCCGGUCAGACAUAUUCGGAUCAUCUGAUAGCGCUUACCCGGAGAGUUUCGCAACCAUUUUUUGCACAGUGUCGUGGCGUUCUCCCGAAGCUUCCCGAUAUGUGCAACCGACAUUUUGAGAUAUUUUUCUUUAGAUAUUUUGAGAUAUUUUUCUUUAGAUAUUUGAUGUCUAAAUCCCCAAAGUCUCCUUGUAACCCACCUAUCAUAGGAUUCCUUAGUCUUUAAGUAAAAACAAAGGGUGAAUAACCUCUUAUAAAUAGUUUGUAAUUUCCUUUACAGAAGAUAUCGAUGAUAGAUCGAUCAUAGAUCGAUCAUAGAUCGAUCAUAUAUCAGAAUGUAAUCCGACGGGAGGAAGAUAUAUAAAGUACAGCGCACUUGCUCUGUUGUUCCUUCAUAUAUAUAUAUAUUUUUGUUUUCUCGUUAUUUUUCUUUCUAGUUAAUCAAACUCUAAGGAUUUUUCCUCAGAUGAUGAGAGGCUAGGCUCUUUGUCUCUUGGAGUGAAGAAAGCCGGGUAAGUUUCCACAUGCAUAAAUUGGAAGUUUUAUUGUUUUAGUUUUUAAUGAAGAAAAAGUGUGACCCGUUAAUGGUUUUUAUCUUUUUAGUUAACUUAAAACGCCUUUAAAUCACCUGGGCCAACACUUGAUAAGGCAAGUGAUCUCCAUUCAUUGAGAUGCACUAGUUUAUCUCUUGCGAGCCUUUGGGAGGUGGUUUGAAGGUAGGAUUUUCUAGAAUAGCCAACACUUGGUAAGCUUUUGGACUCUAAGGAGACAUCCAUUAGUUAUCUCUUGCGAGCUUUUGAUGGGAAAUCCAAAGUUAAAGAUCACCUUGAAUGGCAAGUGCUAGGUGAAAGGUAUGAGCCAUUGCAAGGUGCAUCAGUGAGAGGGAUUUAGUGUUUGAACCCAUUAAGGGGAAGCAUCUGUACAAAACCGGUUAGAGAAUUAACUAUAUGUUAAUUCUCUAAUGCGAGGAAAAGAAACAAGUGACCGGAACUCUCUUUUUGUACAAGGAAUCUGAACCCAGUGAUCUAAACUCCAAGAAACACUUUUCUUUGUAAGUAAAAUUAAUUACUAUUUUUGGUUAGUUUAAAACCAAACCUUUUUCAACUAAAGUUUAUGUUUUCUUUUAAAUCUAACCUUGAAAUGAAAAGGCACCAAUUCAGCUUUGAAUUGAUAUCAAUUGUGAAGUGAAAACCCAUCCCAGUGAACGAUCCUAGAGCCACUAUGCUAUAGUAGCUUUGUCUUUGCUACCCUAGUUCAUGGUGUAAUAGGUUAUAAAUUUUGUUGAUUACUCCCUUCUGAGCACCACAAUCAAGGGACACCAGCUGGACACGUAUCAAAUGGCACCAUUAUUGGGGACCAUUGAGAGGACAGCUGAGACACCAAUUGGGAACGAAUCAAAUGGCGCCGUUGCCGGGGAUGGCGCCACUUUACAGUGAUAUCACCUUUUUAGAGUACUUGUGAUCUUCAUCACAAGUUUGGUGACUUUUCUUUUCCUUUUACUAACUCUUUUUAUUUAUUUUUUUUCUUUGUUCAUAUUUUAGUAUAUCUUUUAUUUAGUUUUUAGUUAAUCUUAAUAAUUUUCUUUUUUCUUUAGAAUUUUUUUUUCUUUUAUUUUCUUUUGUUUUCUCUGUUUUUAAUUCACAAAUUGCUAGUUGUGCAUGUCAUAUUGAAUACGAGAUAGCAGAGGAAGCCAUGAACUUCAUGAGUUAUGUGGCUUAAGUUUCAAGAGGUUGAUCUGCCCACAUGCAAGCUAGAGCAUAAGGAAGAGAGUGAAACAGAGAAUGAAAAGAGGGAGGAAAUCAAAGGAAAGAAAAAGGGGAAAAGUACAGAGAAAGAUGGCUAUGAUUUUAAUGUAGAUGAAGAACCACAGAGGAUAGUCAUCAAGGAAGAAAUGAUGAAGAAACACAUGCCUCCACUUUUCCUCCAAGCUUUGUAUGGGAAAAUCAUACAGAAAAAGUCUCAAGUGAGGGAUGCAAACUUCAUAUGGGAUCUGGGAAAGCUAAAUCAGGAUCAAAUUUUUUGAUGGACUUAGUCUUUUUAAAGACUAGCUAGUCCAUAUCUUUUUGUUUUAUUUAUUACUUGUUUUAAUUUUGAUUUCAAUGCUUUAAUUUUGAUUUCAAUGCUUUAAUUCUAAUUUGUUUUGAUGUAAUAUAGGUUUUUGGAUGAUCAAAAUCAGGAGGAAUUGCAAAAGAAGUGAAGGAAGGUCUCAGGGAGCUAAAAGGAGCUUAGAACCAUGAAAAUUCAGUGGUCUGUGAAAUUUCGCAGCCCAAAAUAGCCCCUUGCGCCCCGCAACCAUGCAUCUAAAGAGGAGAGCCCUCUCACUGAGAUCACACACACGAAGCCUCUCACUCCAUUUCUUACCUCCUUAAACCAUCAAAGCCCAUAGCUCCAACUGAAAGCUCCAGUUGAGGAGACUAUGCCACCUAAGGAGACUACCAAAACAGAGGCCAAAGUCCUGAUCCAACCCACUCAAGAGGCCACCACAGAUGCAUCAACUCCACAGGACCCUACCAGUACUUGAUCAUCUCUUUACUUUUGUCUUUACAUAUUAUAUUAGUAUAAAUAAUUUCAUGUUUUGAUGUUUUAUAUUCUAGGAUUGGAUGUAUUACUGAUGAUACAUCAUACAUAAACAUCAUUUUUUGUUUAAACUUGGCAUUUUUCUAUUUCCUCUACUCACUAACUCUUUUGUUUUUUUGAAACAUGUGGUUUCUCCUAUAUGACUCAGACUCCAUGUCACAUAGGAUGUACCACUUCCUCCCUAUUUUUCAAUCGCUUUUGUCACAUUGAGAACAAUGUUCAGCUUGGUUGGGGGGAGAGUUGAGGAAGGAAGUUAUUGUUAAUAAUGCUAAGUUAUUUUGGUAAUUUAGUUGUUUUUUACUUAAUUUUUAAUUUUUUAAGUUUUUAUUCUACUCUCCAUGGUUAUUAAGGAAAAUUUUCAAACUAAAAUGGGAGAAAUUGAAUUUUUAUCUUUUUACUUGACUUAGAUUUUGUAUUAUGCUUACUAAAGUUGAUGAAUUGUUGAAACUUCUAUUGAAUUCAAGCUUAGUUCUUCCACUUUAAGCUAUUCACACACUGUGCACAAUAGGUUCCGAUUAUAAGAUGAAAAACUAUUUCCCUCUUGACUUAGGAAAAUUUUAGACUUGGUACCUUUGACCUCAUUUUAAUAGUGUUGGGACACCUUAUAAAAGGCUAAUGAGCCUUUGAAAAAAAAAAUGUUUGCUUGCCUUGAAACCCGAGCAAGGUCUGAGGGGUAUAUGGUGAAAAUCUUUAAAACCUGGUGCCCUAAGCCUUAAUUGGUUGGGAGUCACCGACCUCAAUGCUCGUUACAAGGGUGAAUAAGUGGAGUUUAACAUACUGUAGGUGCUUGGGUAUUAAAAUUUCAUUCUCAAAAGUCCGGGGUAAAAUCCGAGGAGUUAGUGGUUGAAAGAUCCUUAAAGCUUGAUGCCCUAAACCUUAAUUGGUUGGGAGUCAUCGAUGGACCCCCGUUACAUGGACAAUUUAGAAAAGGAUACCCUUAAGCCUUGUACUCCUACAAGAAAAAAAAUUGUGAAAAAAAGAGGUGCGUUCUUAGCCUAUUGGAGGUUGACCAGUUUGCUAAGCUUUGAAAAAGAACUAGGUUGGGGGGAGAGAUUAGUUCAACAUACUAUAUUCAGAAGCUAAUAAAUAACACUUAGAUUUUUGUGGAAGAGUAAGGUUUGACCCUUUGGGAGUGGAAACUCUUUUAAAGCUUAAAUUUGCAUAAUGUCUUCUUUUUAAGAAUUGUGAUUAGACAAGUUAUUUGAUAACUCUUGUUGAAGUUUGAGUUUUAUUUCUUUAAUGUUCCAUGUGAGAGUUAGAUCAUCAUGCCACUUGAAAAUUGUUUUUUGAUCAGCAUGAUGUUGUAAAUUAUAGUACUAUUUAUUUUUAUUUUUCUCUCCUUCAUUGCUAAGGGACUAGCAAUAUGUCGGUUGGGGGGACUGAUUACUACUCAAAAAGUGCUAUUUCAUAGCUUGUAAUUAACUCUUUUAAACACUUUUGAGUAGUAGUUAUCACCUUUUAACCCAAUUAACAUAUUCAGGACCCUUGCAAUCAAUUCUAAUCAAAUUGUGUUAAGUUUUGGUGUUUUGAUAGCUUUUUGAUCACCAAAGCAAUCCGAGAUUGAGGAGAGUUCUUUGGAAUCCAUGGCAAAGCAAUGGAAAGCUCAGAAACAUGAAGAACCGAAGCUUUGAAGUCCUUUGCCAUAAGCAAAUCCGGAAUGCAAGGAGUAUGGGCGUCCGGACACACCAUCGGAGGGCGGCGGAACAUGGGCUGUGGCAGGCUGUCGGAAUGACGUAGCAAGGCUUGUGUACUUUAGUCAAUGAUCCGGACAACAUAUCCGGAUAGGAUAUGCUAUCGUCCGGGUGUGUGAUGUUCGCAAGUGUCGUGUGCUUCUCCCUGAGGGAGUCCGGAUAGGGGAGCGCGCCGCGUAUCCUUUUAGGGAAUCCGGCUGGAGUUGCUCCGGAUGGGUCCCUACACCAUGCACACACGGACGGUCACCCUUACGACGUUCCAUCUUCUCCGGAUAUCCCACAUCCGGAAUUCUGGCCGGGUGACAUUCCACCUUCUCCGGAUAUUUCACAUCCGGCGCCUGACGCCGGAUAGGAAAUGUGGGUUUCAACUUCUCCGGUUAGACAUAUCCGGAUCAUCUGAUAGCGCUUACCCGGAGAGUUUCGCAACCAUUUUUUGCACAGUGCCGCGGUGUUCUCCUGAAGCUUCCCGAUAUGUGCAACUGACAUUUUGAGAUAUUUUUCUUUAGAUAUUUUGAGAUAUUUUUCUUUAGAUAUUUUGAUAUAUUUUUCUUUAGAUAUUUGAUGUCUAAAUCCCCAAAGUCUCCUUGUAACCCACCUAUCAUAGGAUUCCUUAGUCUUUAAGUAAAAACAAAGGGUGAAUAACCUCUUAUAAAUAGUUUGUAAUUUCCUUUACAGAAGAUAUCGAUGAUAGAUCGAUCAUAUAUCAGAAUGUAAUCCGACGGGAGGAAGAUAUAUAAAGUACAGAGCACUUGCUCUGUUGUUCCUUCAUAUAUAUAUAUUUUUGUUUUCUCGUUAUUUUUCUUUCUAGUUAAUCAAACUCUAAGGAUUUUUCCUCAGAUGAUGAGAGGCUAGGCUUUUUGUCUCUUGGAGUGAAGAAAGCCGGGUAAGUUUCCACAUGCAUAAAUUGGAAGUUUUGUUGUUUUAGUUUUUAAUGAAGAAAAAGUGUGACUCGUUAAUGAUUUUUAUCUUUUUAGUUAACUUAAAACGCCUUUAAAUCACCUGGGCCAACACUUGAUAAGGCAAGUGAUCUCCAUCCAUUGAGAUGCACUAGUUUAUCUCUUGCGAGGAGGUGGUUUGAAGGUAGGAUUUUCUAGAAUAGCCAACACUUGGUAAGCUUUUGGACUCUAAGGAGACAUCCAUUAGUUAUCUCUGGCGAGCUUUUGACGGGAAAUCCAAAGUUAAAGAUCACCUUGAAUGGCAAGUGCUAGGUGAGAGGUAUGAGCCAUUGCAAGGUGCAUCAGUGAGAGGGAUUUAGUGUUUGAACCCAUUAAGGGGAAGCAUCUGUACAAAACCGGUUAGAGAAUUAACUAUAUGUUAAUUCUCUAAUGCGAGGAAAAGAAACAAGUGACCGGAACUCUCUUUUUGUACAAGGAAUCUGAACCCAAUGAUCUAAACUUCAAGAAACACUUUUCUUUGUAAGUAAAAUUAAUUACUAUUUUUGGUUAGUUUAAAACCAAACCUUUUUCAACUAAAGUUUAUGUUUUCUUUUAAAUCUAACCUUGAAAUGAAAAGGCACCAAUUCAGCUUUGAAUUGAUAUCAAUUGUGAAGUGAAAACCCAUCCAGUGAACGAUCCUAGAGCCACUAUGCUAUAGUAGCUUUGUCUUUGCUACCCUAGUUCAUGGUGUAAUAGGUUAUAAAUUUUGUUGAUUACUCCCUUCUGAGCACCACAAUCAAGGGACACCAACUGGACACGUAUCAAAUGGCACCAUUGUUGGGGACCAUUGAGAGGACAGCUGAGACACCAAUUGGGAAUGAAUCAGAUUUGCAAUUAUUACAGUGUAUGUUGAUGACUUAAAUCUUGUUGGAACUCCUGAAAAUCUCAUAAGAACAAUAAAUUACUUGAAAAAGGAAUUUAAGAUGAAAAAUUUUGGAAAAACAAAAUUUUGUCUCGACCUGUAGAUUGAGCAUUUUCUAAAUGAAGUUUUAGUACAUCAAUCAACAUACAUUAAGAAAGUUUUGAAGCGUUUUUAUAUGGAUAAAAAGCAUCCUUUAAGUUCUCUAAUGGUUGUCCGAUCGCUUGAUGUGAAAAAAAAACUCAUUUCGUCCUUGCGAAAAAAAUGAAGAAUUGCUUGGUCUAGAAGUACCAUAUCUUAGUGCUAUUGUGCACUGUAUCUUGCUAAUUUUACACGUCCAGACAUUGUUUUUCUAUCAAUUUAUUAGCAAGAUACAGUUCUGCUCCAACUCGAAGACAUUGGAAUGGUAUCAAACAUGUAUUGCGUUAUUUUCAUAGAACUACUAAUAUGGGUCUAUUUUAAUCAAGGGAAUCAAAGCAACAAUUGCUUGGAUAUAAAGAUGCAAGAUAUCUUUCAAAUCCACAUAAAGGUAACUCACAAACAGGGUAUGUGUUUAAUUGUAAUGGUAUUGCUAUUUCAUGGAGAUCUGUCAAACAAACAAUGGUGGUCACAUCAUCAAAUCAUUUAGAAAUACCGACAAUUCAUGUAACAAGUCAUGAAUGUAUAUGGCUAAGAUCUAUGAUCCAGCAUAUUUGGGAAUCAUGUGGACUUUCCUCUAUCAAAGGUGACCUAACAAUAUUAUUUGAAGAUCAUGUUGCAUGCAUUGCACAGAUAACAAAGGGUUAUAUUAAAGGAGAUAGAACUAAACACAUUCACCAAAAUUCUUUUAUACACAUGAACUCUAGAAGAGUAGUGAAAUUGAUGUGCAACAAAUAUGUUCAAGUGAUAAUCUAGCAGAUUUAUUCACAAAAUCAUUGCCAACCUCAACAUUCAAAAAGUUAAUACACAAGAUUGGAAUGUGUCAACUCAAGGAUAUCAACAUGAGGAAGAAUAUGGUUGUAAAAAGGUGUUAGUGUAUUGUACUAUUUUUUCCUUCAUCCAGGUUUUGUCCCACUGGGUUUUACUGGCAAGGUUUUUAACGAGGCAGUCCUAACAUACCAAGAGCAACUUAAAGAAUUAUAAGAAUAUUGUACUCUUUUUCCUUCGCUAGGUUUUUCCCAUAGGGUUUUUAUCUUAAUUUAAAUUAUCAAUAUUAAUGACAAAAAAGUGAAAUGUAUUUAAAAAAAUUUAAUUAUUUAUAUUUUAAUUUUUUAUAAUUAUUUUUAAUUUUAAGUUAUAUGUUUAUAAUUGUUGGCAAAUCGGAGGGUUGGUCGUGUCCAUCAACUCCUCUUAUGUUUGAAUGUCAUGGGCGCUUGAGUAAGCAUUAUAAGGUUAAGGUAUGCUCAUUUCCUAAAAGCAUUUUUGUCAAGAAAGGCCCAUACCCUAACCUUAUAGUGCAUUCACCCAAAUGCCCACGGCAUUCAAAUAUAAAGGGAGUUGAUGGACGCGGCCAACCCUCUGAUCUGCCAAUAAUAGAACAUGGGGGAAUCCCACUAUUAUUGAUGCAUGACAGAUGAUUUUUUUCUAUAAAGCCCACUUUCUACCCAGUUCAUUCAUUCCAUUGCUUGUCAAAAUGCAGAUGAGGGACUUGGUUCAUUUAUUGAAAAGAAACAUGAAAGUCUUUGUUUAUUUAGGCAAAAAACUAGAGCAUUUUUUUAGCUAUUGUCUUGCUUCUAGUAAUGCUUCCUGGGUUUAUUAUCAUCUCUAUUUCAUUUCCUAGUCUUCCAUGUUAACCCAAUGUGGAUUCACCUUAGUUACUACAUUACUCUCAGUUUGGUGGGCUAUCUAGCUUUGAAGGUUUCAAAGCUUAAAACUACCUCAUUUAGGUCAUCAGGUCUUGAUUUGUUCUUUACUUCAGUGUUUGCAUCGACGGUUUCUAGCAUGUCCACUAUGGAAAUGGAAAUAUUCUCCAACAUCCAACUUGUUAUCAUGACCAUUUUGAUGCUUCUGGGUGGGGAGAUUUUUACUUCCUUUCUUGGACUUCAAUUACUGAGGUCCAAGUACUUCUCCAAGAGGGAAAAUAUAGAAACUAGAGUCCAUGUUAAUGCUUCAAACGUUGAGAAGUUCGUGAAUCAAGUUGAGUUGGAUUUGGCAACUCUUCCCCAGUCACAGAAUGAAAAACCCGAUCCUAACUUGGAAAAUGGUAGUGGGGAUUCUAAGUACUGCUCUAUUAGUGUUUGAGUUGUGUGAUUUUUUGUUAUAUUCUGGUGGUCCAUCUUGUUGGUUCUGCUUUGAUUCUUCUAAAUCUUAGGCUUGUUCCAAGUGCAAGAGAAGUACUAAACAAAAAAGGCCUUUCAAUACAAACUUUUUCCAUAUUCACAACGGUGUCUACCUUCUCCAACUGCGACUUCAUCCCCACAAAUGAGAACAUGAUGAUUUUCAAGAAGAAUUCGGACCUCCUCCUCCUCCUUCUCAUUCCUCAAGUCCUUCUUGGAAACACGCUGUUUGCCCCUUUCUAAUAUGGGUUUUGGAGAAACGUUCAAAGCGAGUAGAAUUUGUUGGGUUUUUCCUCAUGUGGAAGGCCCAAAUUAAGAGCCCAAAAUUUAAGGCCUCUUAGGCCUUUAUAUAAAAGGGCUAGAAAAAGAAUCAUUUUUCUGCUUCUUCUUCUUCCAAUUUUUUGCAGCCACAGGAGGUAGGAGAAAAGAGAGAGAGAAAGGGGAGAACCACCAUUUUUGAAGUUAGAAAGAAAAAUUCAGUUUUUUCUUCACUGCCCAAAUUUCAUCAAAGGUCCGAUCCUGCUUUGUCUGUGGGCCGAUCAACCUAAAAUUUGGAGGAGAGGUUCAUGACUCAUUGAUUUUUAUUCUGAACGGUGGAGAUUGGAUUUGGAGAUCCGGGCGGUCAUCUUUCAAUCCGAGAAUAGAGCCUCCAUUUUGAUGCAUUUUCUAUCCGAACAGUUUUGAUCAUGAAAUCCGAUCGAGGUUAAUCCGUGGUUCGAUUGAGUCGAUUUUUGGAGAAAACGUUCAGAACUCAUUUAUCUUCAUUCUGAACGGUGAAGAUUGGAUUUGGAGUUCUGAAAAGUUAUAUUUUAGUCCAAGAAUAGUGGUGUGUUUGGUGAGAUCUCUCCAUUGUUUUUAUGCAAAGUUGUUGAAAUUACCAAGAUCAAUUUGUCUUGAGAUAUGGAUGAUGUAUGCCUCUAGUUUUAUCUCAAGAGAAUUGUGUAACCCAUUAAUUAUAUUAGUGGAGUUUUUAAGUGGCCUAAGGGUCCUGUGGUUUUUACUUCUCAUAUUGGAGAAGGUUUUCCAUGCUAAAAUUAUUGGUGUUCAUAUAUUUGUUGAUUGGGUGAAUUCUUGUUGCUCUAUUUGAUUGAGUCCUAUUAGGUUCUCACAAGAGGGGAUAAAAAAUGGUUGUGCAUUCUUUGUGUUUAUCCCAUCAAAGUGAUAUUGGAGCAUUGGUUCAAGAUAAUCUAUGUCUUGUAUAGAACAAUGGAAAGCAAUACAAGUAGAAUGAUUACUCUGAAUGACUCCAAUUAUCAUGUUUGGAAAGGAAAGAUGGAAGACUUAUUGUAUGUGAAGGAUUAUUAUUUGUUUGUGUUUGCUUCUGAAAAGCCAGAAAAUAAAACUGAUGUAGAAUGGAAUUUACUUCAUCGGCAAGUUUGUGGUUAUAUCAGACAGUGAGUAGAUGAUAAUGUUCUCAAUCAUGUUAGUGAAGAGAAAAAUGCACAAAGUCUAUAGAACAAGUUCGAACAGCUCGAAAGACUGGUAACAAUAAAUUGUUUCUGAUCAAGAAGAUGAUUAGCUUGAAGUAUCAAGAUGGAACUCCUAUGACAGAUCACUUGAAUACAUUCCAAGGUAUUAUUAAUCAAUUGGCUUGAAUGAAUAUCAAGUUUGAGGAAGAGGUGCAAGGGUUGUGGCUUCUUGGUACAUUGUCGGACUCGUGGGAGACGUUUAGAACUUCUUUGUCUAACUCAGCCCCAGAUGGUUCUAUGAAUAUGGAUUUGGUUAAGAGUUGUGUUCUGAAUGAAGAGAUGAGAAGAAAGUCACAGGGUUCUUCUUCACAGUCAGAUGUCCUAGUUACUGAAAAGAAGGGGAGGAGUAAGAGUAGAGGUCCGAAGAAUAGAGAUAGAAGCAAAAGCAAGACUAACAAGUUUGCCAAUGUUGAGUGUCAUUAUUGCCAUUUGAAAGGGCAUAUAAGAAAGUAUUGUCUCCAAUUGAAGAGAGAUGUGAAACAAGGGAAAGUGAAGGACAAGAAGAAUGACAAUGAUGGUGAAGAUGAUCGAGUUGCCACUACCACUUCAGAUUUCCUUAUUGUUUAUGAUAGUGAUGUUGUUAAUUUUGCUUGCCCGGAGACUAGUUGGGUGAUUGAUAGCGGUGCCUCAAUUCAUGCUACACCUCGGAAAGAUUUCUUUACAUCCUACACAUCUGGUGAUUUUGGAAGUGUUAGGAUGGGUAAUGAUGGCUCAGCUAAAGCCAUUGGUAUGGGAGAUGUGCGUUUGGAGACUAGUAAUGGUACUAUGUUGAUUUUGAAGAAUGUCAAACACAUUCUAGAUAUCCGCAUGAAUUUAAUCUCCACAGGUAAGCUUGAUGAUGAAGGGCUCUGCAACACCUUUCGUGAUAGUCAGUGGAAGCUCACCAGAGGUUCUAUGGUGGUAGCAAAAGGAAAGAAGUGUUCCUCAUUGUAUUUGAUGCAGGCAAGGGUAAUUGAUUCCAGUAUCAAUGCAGUGGAUGAUGAUAGCACAGUUGAGCUUUGGCACAACAGACUCGGUCACAUGAGUAAGAAAGGCUUGAUGAUUUUGGCUAAGAAGAAUAUUCUUUCUGGUAUGAAGAACGAAUCUUUGAAAAUGUGUGCUCAUUGCUUAGCAGGAAAGCAGACCAGAGUUGCAUUCAAAACACACCGCCAUACAAGGAAGCCAUGUAUGCUUGAUUUAGUGUAUUCUGAUGUGUGUGGUCCUAUGAAAAUAAAAACACUUAGUGGAUCUCUAUAUUUUGUGACUUUUAUAGAUGAUCAUUCAAGACAGAUUUGGGUAUAUACCUUGAAAACAAAAUACCAAGUGUUAGAAGUGUUUAAGAAGUUUCAUGCUUUUGUUGAGAGACAAUUUGGUGAAAAAUUGAAAUGCAUCCGGACUUAUAAUAGGGGUGAGUAUUCUGGUCCUUUUGAUGAGUAUUGUAAACAAUAUGGUAUUCGACAUCAAAAGACACCUCCUAAGACCCCUCAGUUGAAUGGGUUGGCUGAGAGAAUGAAUAGGACACUAGUUGAAAGGGUGAGAUGUUUACUUUCACAGUCACAAUUGCCAAGAUCCUUUUAGGGUGAGGCUUUGAAUACUGUUGUACAUGUUCUCAAUCUUACACCAUGUGUUCCUUUAGAAUUUGAUGUUACGGAUAGAAUUUGGUCAAAUAAUGAAAUCUCUUAUGAUCACUUGUGUAUCUUUGGAUGCAAGCCUUUUGUGCACAUUCCGAAAGAUGAGAGGUCUAAGCUUGAUGCUAAGACAAGACCUUGUGUAUUCAUUGGCUAUGAUCAGGAUGAGCUUGGUUACAGGUUUUAUGAUCUGAUGCAGAAAAAGCUUGUAAGAAGUCGAGAUGCUAUGUUUAUGGAAGAUCAUACCAUAUAAGACAUUGAGAAGACUAAUGUAACAGAGUUUCAGUAUAGUGAUAAUCUGAUUGACUUUGAUCUAGUUCCUUUGACACAUCUUCCUACACAGGUUGAAGAUGAAGCACAUGAUGACCAACCUGACAUUGGUGAUGUUGAAACUCCCACACAAGUUGAGAUGGAUGAUGAUGUUCAUGAGCAGUCACCAGUAGCAGAGGCUCCACUAGAUAUUCCACUUAGGAGGUCUACCAGAGACCGACAUCCUUCCACAUGGUAUUCUGUUGAUGAUUAUGUAUUACUAACUGACGGGGGAGAACCUGAAAGUUAUGAGGAAGCCAUGGGAGAUGAGAAUAAGAUAAAGUGGGUUGAUGCUAUGCAAGAUGAGAUGAAGUCAUUGCAUGAGAAUCAUUCUUAUGAGCUUGUCAAGUUGCCAAAGGGAAAAAGAGCUUUGAAGAACAAGUGGGUCUAUAAAGUGAAGCAAGAAGAACACGCUUCACAGCCACGUUACAAAUCUAGAUUGGUUGUCAAAGGGUUCAGUCAAAAGAAAGGUAUUGAUUUUGAUGAGAUUUUUUCUCCUAUUGUUAAGAUGUCGUCUAUUCGUGUAGUUUUGGGCUUGGCAGCUAGUCUUGAUUUAGAGAUUGAGCAGAUGGAUGUUAAGACUGCGUUUCUCCAUGGUGAUUUAGACAAAGAAAUUUAUAUGGAACAAUAAGAGGGUUUCGUAAUAAAAGGAAAAGAGGAUUAUGUGUGUAAGUUGAAGAAAAGUCUUUAUGGCUUAAAGCAGGCACCGAGGUAGUGGUAUAAAAAGUUUAAAUCAGUUAUGGGGGAGCAAGGCUACAGAAAAACUACUUCUGACCAUUGUGUAUUUGUGUUGAAACUCUCUGAUGAUGAUUUUGUUAUAUUGUUGCUCUAUGUUGAUGAUAUCUUGAGUGUUGGCAGAAAUGUUUCAAGAAUUGAUAAGCUGAAGAAGCAGUUAAGAAAAUCCUUUUCCAUGAAGGAUUUGGGGUCAGUAAAGAAAAUUCUUGGUAUUAGAAUUGAGCGAGAUAGAGCAUCCAAGAAGCUGUAUAUGUCACAGGAGCAAUAUAUUGAAAAGGUGCUUGAAAGAUUUAACAUGAGCAAAGCUAAAGUGGUUAGUUCUCCUCUAGCUAGUCACUUUAAGCUAAGCAGCAGACAUAGCCCUUUUAUAGAUAAGGAGAAGGAAUACAUGAGAAGAGUUCCGUAUGCCUCAGUAGUAGGAAGUUUGAUGUAUGUCAUGGUAUGUACUAGACCAAACAUAGCUUAUGUAGUUAGUGUUGUUAGCCGCUUUCUAUCUAAUCCGGAAGACUACAUUGGGAGGCAAUCAAGUGGAUUAUGAGAUAUUUGCGAGGCACUUCUAAGUUGAAACUCACUUUUGGAAGUGGGAAACUAGUACUUGUUGGCUACACUUAUUCAGAUAUGGCAAGGGAUGUAGAUAAUAGAAUGUCUACUUCAGGCUAUUUGAUGACAUUCUUAGGAGGUGUUGUAUCUUGGCAAUCAAGACUACAAAAAUGUGUUGCACUUUCUACAACAGAGGCAGAGUACAUUGCAGCAACAGAAGCAUGUAAAGAGUUAUUGUGGAUGAACAUUUCAUACAUGAGCUCGGGUUUAAGCAGUAGCGCUAUGUGGUAUACUGUGAUAACCAGAGCACCAUUCACCUUAGUAAGAAUUCUACUUUUCAUGCAAGAUCGAAGCACAUUGAUGUGAGGUAUCAUUGGAUGAGAGAUGCUCUCAAUGAUAAUUUGUUUGAACUUGAGAAGAUACAUACCGAUCACAAUGGCUCAGAUAUGUUAACGAAGUCCUUACCAAGGGAGAAGCUUGAAGUUUGUUGUUCAAUCGCCGGGAUGGCGAGUCCCUCCACAUAAUCGGAAAUGGGUUUGUUAGGUUUUUCCUCAUGUGGAAGGCCCAAAUUAAGAGCCCAAAAUUUAAGGCCUCUUAGGCCUUUAUAUAAAAGGGCUAGAAAAAUAAUCAUUUUUCUGCUUCUUCUUCUUCCAAUUUUUCGCAGCCACCGGAGGUAGGAGAAAAGAGAGAGAAAGGGGAGAACCACCAUUUUUGAAGUUAGAGAGAAAAAUUCAGUUUUUUCUUCACUGCCCAGAUUUCAUCAAAGGUCCGAUCCCGCUUCGUUUGUGGGCCGAUCGAUCUGAAAUUUGGAGGAAAGGUUUGUGACUCAUUGAUCUUCAUUCUGAAUGGUGAAGAUCGGAUUUGGAGAUCUGAACGGUCAUCUUUCAGUCCGAGAACAGAGCCUCCACUUUGAUGUGUUUUCUAUCCGGACAGUUUUAAUCAUGAACUCCGAUCGAGGUUAAUCCGUGGUUCGAUUGAGCCGAUUUUUGGAGAAAACGUUCAGAACUCAUUGAUCUUCAUUCUAAUGGUUGAGAUUGGAUUUGGAGUUCUGAAAAGUUAUAUUUUAGUCCAAGAACAGUGGUGUGUUUGGUGAGAUCUCUCCAUUGUUUUUAUGCAAAGUUGUUUAAAUUACCAAGAUCAAUUUGUCUUGAGAUAUGGUUUAUGUAUGCCUCUAGUUUUAUCUAGAGAGAAUUGUGUAACCCAUUAAUUAUAUUAGUGGAGUUUUUAAGUGGCCUAAGGGUCCCGUGGUUUUUACUUCUCAUAUUGGAGAAGGUUUUCCAUGCUAAAAUUAUUGGUGUUCAUAUACUUGUUGAUUGGGUGAAUUCUUGUUGCUCUAUUUGAUUGGGUCCUAUUAGGUUCUCACAAGAGGGGAUAAAACUUGGUUGUGCAUUCUUUGUGUUUAUCCCAUCAGAAUUCAGUUACAUGUCAAAGAAUUCGAGAGAGAUAGGCUACAGUCAUUUACUUCCUAGUCUGCAUUCAUCUUUUCUGGUCAUUACCGUUUUUCUGAUGAUAUUAGUUCAGCUUAUAUUAUUUGGCUCCAUGGAGUGGAAUUCAGAAGUCGUGGAAGGCUUAAAUACAAAGCAGAAGCUUGUGGCCUCGUUGUUUCAAGUUGUAAAUUCGAGGCACACUGGUGAAUCUGUCUUUGAUCUUUCAACCAUCUCCCCAGCAGUAUUGGUUCUAUUCGUUGUAAUGAUGUGAGUUCUCGUGAAUACGACUGUCUGCCAUUACAAUUAGUUGCAUGACUUGUUCAUAGAUUCCAUUUCCCUUUUUGGUAAAUGCGCGCCUUGCUGCCCAUCAUGAAUUCUUUCCUAUUAAGGCCACUAGGAAAACUGGCUGAAUGGGGCCAGCGGAUCACUACGACCUUUAAUUUUCUGAGUCAUGAUCGCACUUGACAUGCAGCCUUGCUAGCAUCUAGUUCUCUUAUAAAUUUUAUUUUUCUGUUUCAUGACUUUUACACUUGUCUUCCAUUAUAUUAAGGCCAUAUGCACCCAUAAGUUUCUGAAAUAAUUCUCAAGAUUCUUAGGCCCUUUAGUCAUAUUUUUUUGAAACUUGUUUUUGAAAACCGUUUGAAGAUUAAAGAAGAAAAAAAAAUAUUUUUUAAAUUUGUAUUUUUCGGUGUAUUGAUAAGUUGCUUUUAGAAACACUUUUCAAAGAACUUGAUGAGAUAAAUAAAUUUUGCUUAUUUUUUAAACUAAAACUUUUAUUUUGAUUUUGCAAAUAAUUUACAAAUUCAAUUCUUAUUAAAAAUGAAAAUAGUUUUAUAAUUAUAAAUAAAUUAAAAUAAAUAAUUUUUAGUAAAAUAUGAAUACUAAUAUUAUAAAUUAUAUUUUUAUUAAAAAUAAUAUAUUUUAGUCCAACACACACACUGAGGAAUAUCAACACUUUAUAGAGGCUUAAUUGAUUUUUUUAAAUGAAUAAUAAUAAUUUUUAAAGUGAUAAUAUUUUAUCUAAAACAAAUUUUAAAAACACGAAAAUCUUUUUUUUUUAUAAUUCAUAAACAAGCAAAAAUUUUCAUUGCAUAUAUAUAUAUAUAUAUAUUUAGUACUCAGUUAUGGACAAACUAUUUCAAAUUAGUUUUGAUUCAUUUUACAAUUAAUUGGACUAGUUAUUUGAAUUUUAAAUUAUUCUUAAAAAUUAGUAGAUUUAUUAAAUAAUUUAAAGUAUUAAGUCUCAUUUGAUUUAUUCUCAUUUAAUUUAAAAUUUAUUUGGCUAGCUAAAUGAGAAAAUUUAGAAAAGUAUAAUUGUCUGUAAAGGAGAAACAAUAGCCAUGACCUAUUUUGGACUAGUUUUGAUCUAUUAUUUUGUUUAUGGUAGUUAUAUCUAUUUUUUAGUCCCAAAUUAUUUUUUAUUAUAUUCAUUAAUAAAUCAUAACAUAUUAAGUCUCGUUUAAUUUGAAAUCCAUUUGUCUAGUUAUGUAUAAAGGAAAAGAACCAUCAUUAUGAUUUUUUUAAUUGAAUUAUUUUUUGAGCUAUGAAUUAUUUUUUAAAAUUAAUAAACUUGUUGAAAAAUAUAUCAUUUUAAAUCUUACUUAAUUUAGAGUCUAUUUACCUAAUCAGAAAAUUCAUAAAAUUGUAAUUUUAUGUUCAAGAAAAACAACAAAGUUAUUCUACACAAAUUGUUAUCCAUAAAUUUAUGAUAUCAAUUAGUUCAAUAUUUUAUUUUUAAAAAUUACUUCAUUCAUUAAUGAAGCUAACACAUUAAGUUUUGCUUAAUUUGAAGUGAAUUUUUUAGUGGAAAAAUUCAUCAAAAAAAAAAAAAAACUAUAGCUAUAUGUCUAGAAGAAACUGGCUACAAGCUUUUUAAUAUUAGUAUGAGUUUUAGUCCAUGAUUUUUUAAUAUUAAUUAGAUCAAUUUUGAGUUUUAUGACUUCCUAGAUUUAGUUGGAUCGAUUUUGAGUUUCAAAUUAUUUUUACAAAUUAGUAGAUCCUAUGUAUCAAAAGUGGUUUGAUUUGGUUUUGCCUACGAAAAAAUUAGAAAAGUUAAAAAAAAUUUAAGAAGACAUGUGCAAUCAGAUGGAGGUUAUAUUUAAAAAUAUAUGAUAGCUGAAGAGAGAAUGAAAGAAGAAAGAAAUUGUAUAGAGAGGCAAUAGUAUUUUAUCAUGAACUCCCCAUUUGAACUUUCUCUGAAAAUUCAAUUUUAAGAUGAAAUUUCAUAUUGUUGUUAUAAGUGUUGAAUUACCAAUUUUCUUAAAAGUUUAAAUUUACAAAAUUUGGGCUCAAUAUGCAUAUCAUGUUUCUUAAUACUCUCUCUCACAUAUGGCCUCAUACCUUGUACGUAGAAAGACAGACAAAAUUUAGAUUUAUAUUCAACGGAUAAAAAUAUAUACCAAAUGUGGAAACAAACAUACAAAUUUGGGAGACGUGACUCGAACUCACAACCUCCGGUUAAACCAAGUUCUGAUACCAUGUUAAAUUACAAAUUUUCCUAAAAUUUUAAACUUAUAGAAUUUAGGUUUAACAAUAACUAGUAACAACUAUCGGGAAAAUUUCUACAACCACAUCUAAUCCAAUUCUCAGAAUAUCUAGGCCUAGAAUUUAGAUUUUCUUAGUUUACUAGUACUUAUUGUUUCUCUUCUUUGUUUUUUCAUUACCACUGAACAGUCUGAAAUAACUAGCAGCUAAUUGAGUGGUGUAGAUAUAGUACAUGUCAUAUUGAAUAAUCCAUUGUAAGACAGUUGUUCAAGUCAUAUAUAUAUCUUAAUGAUAUUUGAACUUGCGAGUUUUGAUAAACUUGUUUUUGCAGGUACCUUCCAGCUUAUACUUCGUUUUUACCCAUCCAUGAUUGCCAAAAGGCCUUAAAAGAUCGGAAGAGGAGGACAAAGCGAAACAAGCUUCUAGAAUAUCUACCUUUCUCACAACUCAUAUUUGGUGCUCUUCAUCAUUCUCAUUUGUAUCACUGAGAGAGACAAGAUGAGGGAAGACCCCCUCAACUUCAAUGUGCUCAACGUCACUAUAGAAGUCGUUAGGUGAGUUUUUUCAUAUAUUUUUUUCAGAAGUAACCAGUGUGCCCCUUCACUUGAUCUACAUUCCCGAUUGUCAAAGAAAGCACAUACAGUAAUCUAACUCUAACAUUCAUGUACAAUGAUAUGAUCAUUUGCAGUGCGUAUGGCAAUGUUGGAUUCUCAACUGGCUAUAGUUGCGCCCGGAAAUUGAAACCCGACCCCUCCUGCAAAGACGCCUGGUAUGGAUUUGUUGGAAGAUGGAGUGACAAGGAAAGUUGAUUCUCAUUCUUAUCAUGUUCAUUGGAAAACUUAAGAAUUUUAGUAUAAAAGUUGGUAGAGCCUGAAAACUGUUCUAGUGCAAGCUGGUCUUAAUUUAGACUUGCAAUUGUGUAAAUAAAAGAGUACUUGAACUGCUUUGUGCCGCAGGGACCAAGGCCUUGACUGUUGUUACUGUCAGCAUUUUUCAACCACAGGUAGCAAUAGGCACUAUUUUCUAAAAUAAUAUUUUAUUUUUCCAAAUAAAAAAUACGAAAACAGACAAUGAGAAAAUACAAAAUGGUUUUUUAUUCUUCAAAAUAUAAAAUAUAGUUAUUUUAAGUUAUUUUCACUUUAUUUUUUAUAAACUGUUUUAAAAAAUAAUUAUAUAAAUAUAUAAAAAAUGAUUAAAAAUAAAACAUUACAUAUAAAAAUUAUUUUUACAACAUAUUUAAAAAUAUAACUGGAAAAUAGCUUUAAAACAUUUUAGAAUCUCAAACAAACUUUUUUUAUACAAAACAUUAAAGAAAUGUUUUCAAAAAUCAUUUUUCAAAAACACUUUCCAAAUAAAGCCUAAGGGUCUAUUUGGUUGCUAUUUUUGAAAACUGUUCUGGAAAACAGUUUUUGAAAACAAUUUUUUGUGUUUUCAGAAGAAAAAAAAAUUGUGUUUGGGAACUGAAUUCUGGAAAACAUUUUUUGUUCUCAAACACAAAAAAAAAAAAAAAAAAAAAAAAAAACAUGUUUGGUUAAGUUAAUAAAAAAGUUUUUAAAAAUAAGUAAAAUAAAAAACAUGUUUAAAAGUUAUUUAUUUUUUAAUUAAUAAAGUGUUAUUUUCCAUUAACUUGAUAUUAUAAAUAUAUAAAUAAUUUUCAUAUGCACAAUUCAUUUAAAUUAAAAAAAAAUUAUUCAAUUUUGAAAUUUUUAGACCAGUUAUAAUUUUCUUAAACAAAUGAUGACUUUGUCACCAUAUAUAAGUAUAUUAAUUUUAAUAAUUUAAGGAAGAAAACAGAGUUUGCGGGUGAGGAUGUGGUGGUUGAGUGGAGCUCACCUUUAUGGAAACACAGAAAACAACUGAGAAAACACAAAAAGAAAAAAGAGAAAACACAAAAUAAAUCUAUUAUUUGAACAGUGAAAAAACAAUGAAAACAUUUUUUUAUUGUUCUCAAAAAAAUGGUUUUUGAGAACGCAGAAAACACAAAAAAACAACACCCCCUUCCCCAAACAAGUUUUUUGUGUUUUUUGUUUUCAAGAACAGAAAAUCGUUCUUGAAAAUAGGAACCAAACAAGCCUUAAGACUCUUGAUCUUGAUCUUUCAGCCAAAUGUUUGAUUAGGGUUAAGUUCCUUUUACUUUUAAUGAGAUCUUAUUAUUCUUAACACUUGGCAAAGUAAUAAUGAAGUCACAUAUAAAAGAAGUAAUAUUUCUCAUUAACCUGCUAACCUUGCAAUUAAAGUUAAGGUAAGUACAUCCCCAUCAUAUAACAUUCUCGCUUCUUGAAAACCUUGUAAAUAAUUAUAGAUAGUGGACCUAAAAUGUAUCCAUUACUCUAUGUACUUUCCUUUUCCUUAGGUAUACUAGGUUUUUCUUUUCUACAAUCCCAAAAGGCCAUAAAGGAAUCACUUACCCCUAAGCUUGUUUUCUCAUUCUCUCUCUUGAACUUUGCUUAUUUGGUGUUGUUAUUCUUCUCUUUGGUAGAAGGGCUUUUUGACAUCAUCAUUGUGUGUGAGCACAAGUUUCAUUUGCCCCAUGAUUUAGGGAAAGAUUGAAUAAUAAUUGUAACUUGCUACUCAUCAAUCAGGUUGUUAUUGACCACCUUUAAGUCACGAAUUAAGGCUAACAUUGUCUUCAAAAUGUUCAAUUAUGGUGUGUUUGGAGUCUAUGACAUAUUGUUCGAACUUCAAAGUGAGCGCUUGUAGCCUAGUUGUAGAUGUCAAAUCAUAGGCAAACUUGAGCUUAUUCCACAUGUCCUGGGCAAUAGAACAAUUCUCAAACUCUCCUAUUAAAUUAUAGUGCAUGAUACUCAACAUAGUGAAACAUGCACAAUGGUCUCUUUUAACCCAAGACUAAUAUGCUUCCCUAUCGUUGUGGUGUUGGGUUGAAUUCCCUUUUUUGGGUCGAAUCGAGGCAUUAGUUAAGGUCUCUAAUACCUCUUGUUCAUUUAACAUGUAUUAGAUUUCCCUAUGUCACAUACCAUAAUUAUUGUCAUCUAAUGUUUUUCCUUUUGUCAAAUUAACAACUUUUUGGUAAGUUGAUUUAAUUUAAUAUUUUUAUUUAUAUCAAUGCUCAAAUUAAUUGCUUUGUGGAAUGAUGAAGGAGAGUAUCAUAUUUUUCAAAAUUUAUGAACAACUUACCCUUUUUUUCUAUCUUUAUAAAAAAAUUUCACAUGUUAACAUUAUCUUAUUUUAUUUUCUAUCUCCUAUAAUUUUUUAAUAAAAUUAAGUUUUUAAUCAUUUUGUAUUUGAUAUUUUGUUAAACAAGUUUUUGAUGGUGUAUUUUCUUCUGAUUCCAUUUGUAAAUUUUAAAUUUAUUCAUAUUUAUUGAGUUUAUGUUUAGUCUUGAAGAUAAUAUGACUAUUAAAAUACUUUAAACUAUAGACAAUAAUAACUAUUAAAUUUUUAGUAAAUAUUUAUAUUUAUUAAAAUGACAUAUAAAUUCAUUGAAACUUUAAAUAUCAUGGCAUUUAAUAUGCUAUUGAAUGUGUCACUCUCAUAAUUAUCAUAUGAUAAAUAGUUUUUAAGUAAAAGAUUUCAACACUUUCAAUUGAUUUUAUACUUAAUGAUUUAAAAAUAAAAUUUCAAAUUUUAUAAAAAUUUUAUGAAAAAAUAAUUUUUUUUUAAUCUUUUUUAAAAUCUUUUGAAUUCUUUUUAUAGAAUCAAAUUUUUAAUUUUUAAUAAUAUUUUUUUAUAAGUUGAUGAUUUAAUUUAAUAUUUUUACCUACUUUUAUAUAUAACAAUUUAUAAAUUACUUAGUAUCCUUAAAUAAUAAGGAGGAUAUCAUAUUUUUCAAAUAAAUAAAUAAUUUAUUAUAAUAUAAAUAAAUAAUUUUACCCCUUUAAACCAAACUUUCUGACUUCACCACUGCAUUGCAUCAUCAUGAAAAGACAUCAUCAAAAAAUGGAUCCAAAAAUAUUGUUUUUUCUAAUUGAAAUUUCAAAUAAUAUCUUAUUCUUGAAAAGAACGUAAAACCAUUUUUAAAAUUUAUUCUUGUAUUCCAUUUUUCUAUUUUAUUUUUCUUUUCCCUGUAGCCGCAGCCCACAAAUUAGAUUUUACUUUUAUCUACGACCCACUAGCCAUUUUUCUAUUUUAUUUGUUUUUGUCCUUCACUCUUCUUCAAACUUCUUGAAGUGGCUUAAAUUAGACCAUGUUUUUUUUUUUAUCUUCUUAAAAGAACAUACGGAAAGGACCUUGAAUUCCAAUAUCCACCAUCAUCUGCCAGCCAUGUUGCUUUGAAUACUCCUCCCUACAUCGGAAUUUAGAAGAUGGCUCUUGCUGAAUUUUGAGAGGCAUUUGAGUUGUGAGGUGGAGGUGGAGUGGCAAAGGUGCCAUUAAAUGGCGUUCAAACGCACCUAAAUCAAUUAUGGUCAUGUAAAAGUCGAUGUUUUGCAAUAUUCACUAAUAGUUAUGCAAGGUACGUAGUGCUGCAAGAGCCAUGGAAUCAGAGUGAAAGGCACGUUUGCUUUUGCAAUGUACAACAAAAACGCACUUCUAAGCCUCACACUCAGGAUGAUUCUAUAUUAGAGUGCAGAGUCCGUUCCAGGGAGCCUCACACCCAGGAUGAUUCUAUCGUAGAGUGCAUUUAACAGUACUUUUACUUCUAAAGUUCCAUUAAAGAGUGUUUCCACGAGGUAGAACCUCCUCAGGGAAUAUAAGGUUUUCAUGAAGCUGAUCUUGAGCCGCCAUCCAAGCAAGAAUACCUUCAUUUAAGAGAAUAUUUUUGGUGUAGAAAGUCUCAAAAUUCAGGAUCUUCCGCUGCACGGAUUUCCUAGGAAACAAAGUCAUAGGCACGUAAGUUCAGAGCCAGACCGACUACUCCAAGAGCACUCAUCCAUAAACCGGUUACGGGUACAAAUAACAUAAAGAAAUGUAACCAACGUUUAUUAGAAAAAGCAACCCCAAAGAUUUGGGACCAAAAGCGGUUAGCGGUGACCAUUGAAUAAGUUUCUUCAACUUGAGUUGGAUUAAAAGCCCGGAAUGUAUUUGCACCAUCAUCAUCUUCAAAUAAAGUAUUUUCUACAGUACCACCAUAAAUAACGCAUAGCAGAGCAACGCCCAAUACACCGACAACUCCCAUCAUAUGAAAUGGGUUCAACGUCCAAUUAUGAAACCCUUGGAAAAAGAGGAUGAAUCAAAAUAUAGCUGCUACACCAAAACUAGGCGCAAAGAACCAACCAAACUGACCUAGUGGAUAAAUUAGGAAUACAAAAACAAAAACAGUGAUUGAAGCAGAGAAUCCAAUUGCAUUAUAAGGUAGCAAUUGAACACAUCGAGCAAGUUCGAAUUGACGUAACAUGAAACCUAUUAGUCCGAACAAGUAUUUUUUUAGUGAAAAUCUUUUCUUUAGAAAUAUUUUUAGGAUUAUCAUCCGUUUAAAAAUGUAUUUAACAAUAAUUUUAAAAAAUGUUUUAUAAUAUUUCCAAUGCUUAAAUAAUAAAAAAUAAAAAAUUUUAAAUGUUAAAAUAACUAAAAACAUUUUUUAAAAUCAUUAUAAAACACACUCUUAUAGUUUGUUUGAUAAUAAUUCUAGAAAGCACUUUUAAUAUUAUUAAUACUUGAAAAUUUUUAUUAUUCAAGUGUAAAAAUAUUUAAAAACGGCUUUUAUAAUCACUUGAAAAUUUUUAUUAUUCAAGUGUAAAAAUAUGUAAAAACGGAUUUUAUAAUCACUAUCAAACAUAUUAUAAGAGUGUGUUUAGAAGUAAUUUUAAAAAACAUUUCUAACAUAUUUAAUACUUAAAUGAUAAAAAAAUUCAAGUAUUAAAAAUAUUAAGAGCGCUUUCUAGAAUCGUUACCAAACAGGUUCUAAGUAUUUCUCUAGGAAAUACUACAAGUGAAUUUUUAACGCUAUAAGUAAUUUUUUCAAUUUAUGAAAGUGUUUCCUAAAUUUUGCUAAAUACCCUUUUUUUUUCAUAAACACUUUUUAGAUUAUUAACACUUUUUUAAAUCACUAUCAAAUAGAGUCUUAACAUAAUUAAUUUUAAACAAUGUCAACAUCAUGAUAGGAACUGUACCAAAAAAAUAUAUAUAUACAUAUAUAUAUAUAUAUUAAAUAAAUGCAUAAAUUGUUUUUCUUUAAAAAAAUUAUAUAUAUACAUACAUACAUAUAUAUAUAUAUAUAUAUAUUUCCAUUUCUAUUCUUGCAUACCAAAUACAACCUUCUUGCUUGAAAGACCCAAAAACUUGAAACGGCUAACAAAAACAAUGAUUACCACACCAAUCCUUUGGGAGUUAGUUCUUAGGCAAAAACCUUAGAAGACUCCAAGAUGGUGAUUGGAAAUUAGAAAGGGAUGAAAAUGGGGAUGAAUUACAUAAAGGACGAGAAACAAAAUCUAAUAAGAGUGAGUUCUGAUUUCAAUGAUAAUAAUUUUUUUAUUUCUAUUUUCAUUAUAAGAAAAACAAUUCAAACACACUAAUAAAUGAAAAAUGAAAUAGAUUUCUCAUUCUCAUUCUUUAUUGCAAUGUUCUAAGCAUGUCCCAAAAGAAAGGAAUCAAAUUAGCUACUGACGUUUCCUUUGAGGAAUAAUCUAUUACAACCCAAAUAGUAAAAGGAAACUUAACAACCACAAAUCCUAUGAGGGCAAACAAACUCAAGGGAAUGUUGCAAAGGGCUCAGGGCCUGUUUGAGAUAGCUUUUUACCUCCUACUUUUACCAGUAAUCUUGCAAAAUUAAGUUCAAGAUCAUUUUAAAACUGUUUUUAUUUAUUUAUUAAAAUAACAAUAAUAUUAACAUUUCCAAAAUUUUAAGUAAAUAAAAAUCUGCUUCCCAUAUCAUAUUUUAGGAAAACAAGUUCUCUUUAGGAAAUGUAGGGUCUAUUUUGAGAUUUCUAUUUAAACAUUCUAAAACUAUGACCUUCAAAAUGUCCUUCAACUGUUUAAGCAGCUUCUUUCUAUUAUACCCUGCUUUUCAUGGUAAACCAAACAAGAGAAUUUCAUGUUUCUUCCUAUUUUAUUUCCUUCCCACAAUAUAGGCAAUCCAAACUCAAGCUAAAACUUGGCAUUGACAUAAAUAUUGAGGAUGAAAAGGUAUAAUUUAGCCUAACAAACACGAAAAUAGUUCCUAAAGGCUACUUUGGGCCAUGGAACAAGAUGGAUAAGCAUAGCAUCAAUAUCUCAUCCUUGACCUACAUUCAGAAGUGUGGCAUAACCUAUAAGCUAUAUGUUAAUGGAGUCGUUUGGGUAACAUAGGGGAGUUGGGGAUUAGAGAGUUACUCAAUGACCACUAUGGUACAAUAAUAAGACAAUUCUCUAAAUCCAUUAGUUAGAGUUUAGCCGUUGAGGCAGAGAUUCUAACCCUUUUAGAGAGUUUGUUGCAAGCAAAAGCUUCAGGCCUCUCCAAUCUCCUAGUAGAAGAAGCUUCUACCAUUGUAAUAUCACGGACGACCACGGAAAAAAGAGAACCCUAGAUGUUUGAUGGGUCAUAACUCCAAAUUAUUGAUACUUCAUCAGAAUUGAUAUGUUCCUUUUGUUGGUUCAUCACUAAACUAAUUGUGAAGGGAUGGGUUAGCAAAGCAUGGAGUAAGACAUUUGGUUUCUUCUAUAAGAGAUUUUUUGGCCUUUAAGAUAAAUUUAUCUUUUUGGACUAGUAUACACCUAUUUUCAUAAAUAUUUGCAUGAAGAAGUUUUAUACUGAUUGGGAAGAUUUCUCACAUUACUUUGUACCCACUAUUCCAAUCCACUAAAAUGGUUGUUUCUGAUUUUACAAAAUAAAUUAGAGAGAUUAAUUACUAUAUUUGAGGUGAGGCAUUUUUAAAAAAUUAGAGAAACACUAUAUAUAAAAAUAAAUUUCACAUUCAACAACUUAUGCAUUAUUCCUUUUAGUACAUUUUCCUUAUUUUCCUCAAAGUGUUUCUCUCAUUAGAGCUGGUUUUGAAUACAUAAUUUCCCAACUGUAACUAAUUCAAACUCUUGCUGAUAAUUGCAAAAUGUACAAGGUAGGAACAAAAAGAAUAAUAAAAGAAAAUGUCCAUAAGUAGACUUACGAGAGUGAGAUAGUAAAACUAGGUUCCCAGCAUCAGAAAUCUCAUCUAAGAACAACCUUCAACUUGCUCUGCACUUGCUCCCUAACAUUCCACUACACCCAGAAUCAUAGCCAAAUUCCAGGUUAUCAGUUAUUACCAGCAAUCAAGACAAAAUACUAAUUACUUGUACAAAAUCCCUUAAACAUGACAUACCUGCAACUCAUUUAUCUCCUCAUCUGUAAGUGAACGCUCCAUGGACCGGUAUGCUAUCCGAUAACAUUGACUGGUCAUUCCUUUCUUGUUGGUGAAAUUGUCAAUCAAUUGCACCUGGCAGUCAAAAAUAUAUCUAAUAGUUUAGAAAACUUCACAAUGAAGCUCCACUUUCAGGCACUGGGAGGAACAGGGACCAUUAUGGCAACUGUUUCACUAUAGAUCAGAUUGGUAACAAUCAUCUUGGAAUAGAUGAUAAAUUUUGAACGAAAAAUUGACUUCAAUCCAAUUAGAUAGAGAAUAGUAAUUUCUCAAUUUUAACCUCUUUAUGAAACUUUCAAUAUGUGAAACACUUCACAAGAAUAUUAACUUCCAAAGUCCCCUUUCAUCACAAUUAUAUGUUCAGCAUCAACGAAUCAGAGUGAAGGUCUUCAUGAGUCCACCAUUUUGAGUCAUCCCACUCAUCUUUGUAUAUUCAACUCCUGAUGGCACUUAAAGCUAUGAAGGAAGAACAUAUUAUUUUCUAUACACAUACAGCAGCUCUGCAACCUGGGAAAAAUGAUGCAGGGGACCCAAACCAGUUAUCUGCCCUCACAAAGGAGAAAAGAUACUGGAUGCUCCCAAAGACAAUUCAGGUUGUCAAUGACUCAGCUGACUAGAUUUUCCAAGUUCAUGUGGUUGUGUUACAAUAAUAUGAUUUAAAAUGAGUUAAAAUGAUGUAAUUUGAGCAAACUCUAAAGCAACUUAUUGUAAUAGCACUAUUUUAAGCUUUUUGACCAACAAUUUCCUAUAUGAGCUUUUUGGUUUUGGCCCGAGGUAAUUAAAAAAAAUCAGUUUUUGUUGUUGAACUGAACCAAAGAAAUAAAGUAAACUAACAUCAAUUAUUGUUAUUAAACUGAACCAAAUCAAUCAGUUCCCUCUAUAAGUUCAAAUAGUCCGGUUCUUAAUACAUAAAACUGAUUAGGCCAGUUUGGCUUUGUUUUAAUGUUCAAAACCAAACCAACCAAACCAUGUACACCUCUAAUUAAAACACAAAUUAGUAAUGUGCUUUCAGUGUAACUAUAAAAAUGGUUAGGAAAAUUCUACCUAGUGAACCAUGAACAGAUCUAUAGCUAAUGAACAAUUUACAGGAAGAAACAUAAAAAGGCAUACCUCCUCGACAAGAUCUCCAGCAACUCCUCUAACAACCUCACAUAAAUUGUUUUCUGUGAAUGACUCAUUAAUCCAAAAACUCAUGUCCUUAUAACAAGGAGGAUACUGCAAAAAGACAAUAGUCAGUUUCUAGCAGCCAAUAGAGAAGGUUACAUGGGGCUCUAACAGGUAUAAAUACUUAGUUAUUAUAUUGUGUGUAAGUAAUCUUUUAGAUUUCAGAAUGUAAAAGCCAAAUUUACAUGAAGGACUUUUUCUAGUUAUACUUAAAAAUGUGGGCCCCCAAAAUGUCAUGGAUCCUUUUGCAUGAAAAUUAAUCAACAGUUUCAAUUACACAAAACAUCACAAGAAGAUACUACUAUUAUCAAAAUCAAAAAAACAUGAGUAAUACCUUUGAAAAUGGCUUGAACUUGACCCCUAGCUGGCCCUUUGAGAACUGCAUACAAAGCAUUUAUAUUAAACAUUCAGGGGAACUAAAUCAGAUGUCGAGAAUGUCAACAAGGUUCAUGUUCAGCAUGCUUUAUUUUCCCAAGGAUUUCAAUUUUGGAAAUGAUUACUUAACCACAAAGACAUAGAAAAGGAGAAUAAAAUAAAAUACAGUAUCAUUUACUGAAUUGGGGAAUUACUUGAGAAGUGAACCGCUCAUCAGUUGACCAGAAAAGCCGAAUAUCUGGUAUCCCAAAUAGAACCAUUGCUAGCCGUUCCAAUCCAAGCCCAAAAGCCCAAGCAACAUUAUCUGUUUUACCACUUUUCUUUAAUAUUUCUUGCUCUGUCACCCCACAACCUAAAACUUCCAACCAUUUCUCCUGACAAAUUACCAAUGGAUGUUGCAUAGUGAGAUCAUAGCAGUUCCACAAAAAAAACUAUAGGCAAUAAUUGUCAAGUAAUAAGUUGAUACAAAAAUAUUCAAAUUCAAACCUGUGGAGAAAAAAUAAUUCUCUUUCUUAAUCAUAAAAAUAAAUAAAUAAAUAAAAAUAAAAAAAAAUAAAAAAAUAAAAAAACUGUACAUGCUCAAUUUAUACAAGAGGAAUUCGUCUAAAUAGGGAAGCUUGACUUCUCUUUCUAUCCCAUGAAAUCAGGAUUUCCUGCUAGUUAGGAGUCAUACAGGUUGCACAAAAAUAUCCAGAGAAUAAAAUAAUUAAUUUAAACUAAAUCUACUGGAUUUUUUACACUCCCCCUCAAGCUGGUCAAUAGAAGUUUUCCGUUCCCAACUUGCUUGUGAUAUCUUGGAAACUCAAAGUAGACAAUCCCUUGGUUCGAAUGUCUGUCAACUGAUCAUCAGACGAUAUGUAUGGCAUACAAAUCAUCCCACUGUCCAAUUUUUCUACCAUAAAAUGUCAAUCCACUUUGAUGUGUUUUGUGUGGUCAUGUUGCACAGGGUUGUGUGCAAUGUUGAUGGCUGAUCUGUUGUCACAGUAGAGCUUCAUAAGUCCUUCCCACUUGAUUUUAAGAUCAUCAAGUAUCUUUUUAGCUACAAAAGUUCACAAACUCCAUGUGCCAUUACUCUAAACUUAGCCUCAGUGCUUGAUCUUGCUAUCACAUUCUCCUUCUUACUUUUCCAUGUCACAAGAUUACCUCCAAGGAAAGUGCAAUAGCCCGGUUAAGAUGAUAUCAUUAAGUGCAAUACCCCUGAAGAUGAAUACUUAACAAAGAGAGUGUGGUUUCCUUGACUCUGUUUAUUAUAAGCACUAAAAUAUUUUUUUUUUUAGUUAGAAACAAGAGAUCUAUAUAUUUAUAUGAAUGGAAACAUGAGAAGGAUAAGGAGUCCUCCCCACGAAUACAAAAAAAACUAAUCAUAAUAUGAAUGACCUCCUCUACUAUAUACAAGGAAUCUAUACAGAAGGUUUAGACUACAAACGUAAAUUCCACUCAAGGAUCUCCAAAUGCUUUAGAUUUACACACUGCAAGCCAGUUGAGUUGG
rnacentral:lncRNA from 1 species